GUACUAGCAGCAACAGUGAACACCCAAGGAGCAACAUUAGUAACACUUCCAGGGGUUGGUCCACCAUUUCCAGCAGAUGCAACUAAUAAUAUGUUUUUAGCGAAUGCCUGAAAUGCACCUAUUGAAAUUUCAUCGGUAAAAAUUUCUUCAAAAUUUGAACUAGAUCGGCCUCCAACAGAAACUGAGAUUAUAUCAACACCAUCACUAAUGGCUUGAUCGAUAGCAGAUAAUACAUCAGCACCAUAACAAACUGCACUAUUUCCAUCUGCAAUUGUUUGAGACCAACACACUUUGUAGGUUACAACUCUUGAUUUUGGUGAACCACCUUUAAUGGUACCAUUGCCGAUACCAAAUAUGCUUGCACCUGGUACGAAGUUUCCACCAGCUGUUGAUAGUGUGUGAGUACCAUGGCCGUAAAAGUCACGUGCUGUUUGUUGCGAACGAGGAAGUUUGCCGUUAACAAGUUCAUAUGCUUUGUUGAAAAAUCUUGCUCCAAUUAACUUCCUGGUUUGUUUAUGCACAUAUAUAUAUAUAUGUGCAUAAGGAACAAAUUUAUUGUUAAAAACUAGAUCAGAUUAUUCGUAAGAAAAAAUUGAACUCAAUAUAAAAAUUAAAUUAUUGUUUUAUUCUUAAUCAGAUUCAAAGAGGAAUCAUUGGUGGUGGAAAGAGUAAUGUAAUAGGAGUGUAAUUCUUAAAAACAGAUUGGAGCAAGAUUAUUUUGGGGCUACUUGCUUGUGCAUGAGGAAUUUGCCUCUGACAAUCAAUACGAUGUUUUUAUUUAUGUAAAAAUUAAGUAAAUACUCAACCUGUUACAUGGAACUUUCUUUGAACCUCUUAGUUUGUUAAUUUGACAGAUGUUUCCCCCACGCCAUUUUGCUGGAAUUGGACCUAUUCCUCUGUCGUUAAAACUCGCCGAUUCGGGCCAAACACCUAAUCCAAACAAUAGGAUAAUUAUAUAUUUUGAAUAAUUUAUGCAUCUAUCUAGGGUUAUUUAAUUAAAAAAGAAACUGAUAUUUCACAUGAAGAUUAUAAUAUUAGCAACAAAAAAGAUUAUAAUAUUGAAUCUGUCAAUGUUAUCUUUUCACGUUUUCAUACAAUAAUCAAUAAUAAAAAUGAUAAAUUGGAAUUCUUGUAACUUGUGACCUACUUGAAUUAAUAAUUACAACAUGCAUGUAAAUGUAAUCCUCCCUUUCGCAAAUUUCAACUAAAGGAACAAAGCACAAAGAUAUUGUGGUGAAACAAAAUAUAUUUUUUAUAUUAAAAACUCAAGAAAGCAUCUUGCCCACUUAAAGAAAGCAUGUGGUUUUUGUCUCCAUAUAGGUUAAUUAAUCUAAGAAAGAAUAAAGGCAAAACAUCCAAUUGUUCUAUAACAAACAUUAUCUCAACAUUGAUGGUCUAUCAAGUCACUGAGAUAAACUAAUGGUGAAUAGAAAACUGUUAAAGAGUGCUCUUAUUACACUCUUUAGUGUGUAAUAAGAAAUAGAGAGUAGAAAGGGGAUGUUUGGUGAGUUAUGGAGGCUUUUGAAGAGUAAAGAUGCUAUUGUUUGUCAAAGAGAAAGAUCAUCUUGGCUUAGUGAAGGAGACGCCAAUACAAAAUAUUUUCAUAGAUGUGUUAAGGCGAGGGCAAGCCGGAAUAGUAUUAAGGCGCUUAAGGUUGAAGAUGAGUGGGUGCAAACUCCAAUUCAUGUUCGCCGGGUGGUGGUGGAUUAUUUCAAGAAGCAAGUUUCGACUACUUUGAGGAGGAGGCCAAGGUUUGACGGUGUUCCGUUUUCUACUCUUUCGCAAGAGGAGAAUAUGGGUUGAUUGCUCCUUUCACUUUGGAGGAAAUCGAAAAGGUGGUGAAGGAAAGUGAUAGUGGUAAGAGUCCGGGCCCGGAUAGUUUUAACAAUGUUUUUUUGAAGGAAUUUUGGUAUCUUUUGAAGCAUGAGGUUCACAUUUUGUUUGAUCAAUUUUAUGGUAAUACAAGUCUUCCUAAAAGUUUCCUUUCAUACUUUGUGGCAUUAAUCCCAAAUGUUAAGUCCCCCUUUUCCUUGAUGGAUUUUCGGCCCAUCUCACUUUUAGGAAGUUUGUAUAAAUUAAUUUCAAAAGUCUUGGCAUGUCGGCUUUCUAAGGUUAUGGCAUCAAUAAUUUCAAACUCUCGAUCGGCCUUUUUAAAAGGUAGAAAUUUAGUUGAUGGCGUGGUGGUGAUAAAUGAGGUUGUUGACUUAGCUAAAAAGCCGAAAAGAGAAUGUUUGAUUUUGAAGGUGGAUUUUGAAAAAGCUUAUGAUUCGGUAGAUUGGGGCUUUUUGGAAUACAUGAUGAAGAGGGUGGGCAUGUGUGAUACUUGGAUACUUUGGAUGAAGGUGUGUGUUUUUGGGGGUAAUAUGUCCAUUCUAAUAAAUGGUAGUCCGGUGAAGGAAAUUUGUAUCCAAAGAGGUUUAAAACAAGGUGAUCCUUUGGCACCCUUUCUCUUUUUAUUAGUGGUCGAAGAUUUUAGUGGUGUAAUGUCGAAUGUCUUUAAUCGGAAUCUCUUCAAAGGCUUUGAGGUUAAGAGGGGGGAACGGUGAUAUCACAUCUUCACAUCUUCACGUGGUCGAAGGUUUUAGUGGUGUAAUUUACCCUUUGUAUUGGAGAGGCUUCGGUGGAGAAUCUUUGGGUCUUCCCGUAGGUGCAAACGCGAAGAAAGUGGCAACUUGGGAGCCUUUGUUGGAUAAAUUGAAGGGUAAAUUGAAUUCUUGGGGCAAUAAGUAUGUGAGUUUAGGAGGUCGCAUUGUUCUCCUAAGUAUGUGAGUUAAUAAAAAUUAUUUUUUUUAGGGAAGUUAAUCAAAUAAAAUGUAUUUUAUGUGUGAGUGCUUAAAUGAUGUAUCCAAAAGCUUAUGUCCAAGCUCUUAUCUAUUUGUGCCAAAAAAAAAAGAAAAAGACUCUUAUGUAUUUAGUUGAACCAACCAACAGAAUGGCCCGUUUCCGGUUCAGCUGGAAGUUCUGCGUGUUUUGACAACACUUGUUGUAGACUUGUAGUCGAUAUAUUUCUCAACAGAUUUUGACGGUGAUCAAUAAUUAACAUAUAAUGUUUUUCUUUAUAGUACCUUAAAUUCUAUUUUUUAUAAUCUUUGUGUUGGAGAUGAAUUUUUGUUGGUACUAAUUUAUUUCAUUUUGUCUUAUUAAAAAACAGAGAAUGUUUUUCUGAAAAUUGUAAUUAUAACUAAAUAAAUGAUUUUGAUUGGAUUAUAGAGCAUAUAGUUAAUGUGGGAAAAAUGAAAAUUUAAGGGAAAUGCUAACUUACGCCCUUAAAGAUAUAUGUUAAGAAAUUCAUUAUAGAAAUAUAUGUAUGUAUUAAAAGUCGUACAUUCAACUUCUUAAAAGUUAAAAUAUUAUAUUCUCCAAUGUAAAGUUGUUCUUUUUGUGUUCCUUAACAUGGCCAAAGUUUAAUACCUGAAUCGAUGUUAGCUAUGAUGGUAUUUUCACCAAAUCUUCCCUUUUGCCAAGCUGAGUUGAUAUCAUUUCCACGCAAUCCAAGAAAUUCCCAUGAACGUGUAGUGUGUAAUUUAUGCUCUUUGCUCAAGAACACAGACACCACCUUUGGAUUUUCUGCAUAUGUGUUGAAAACAUUUUGUUCAUCAACAUUUUGGAUUAAUGAGGUUUAUCAUUUUGUUGAAAAUUAAAUCACUAGAUCUAAAAAACAUGGUGUUUCCGACUUGCAAUUUGUGCAGCCUCUUCCUCUUCAAGUAUAGCUGCAAAGCCAUUGAUCUGUUUAUUAUAUGAAUAAAUUAUUGCUUUUUUUGCAUUCUCCUUGCUGUGAAUGAUCAAUAUAUAUUAGUUAAUCAAUCAAUUUCUUCUAAAGAAAAGAUCAAGUAAAAUAUUGUAAUGGUUCAUUUUCUUAUUGUAUGUACCUUCCCAUGAUUGAACCCAGUAAAUCAUAAUGAGAAGAUGUAGCAGUUUCAAGGUCAAUAGAGGAAGGGGUUGGACCAUGUGAAUGUGCUCCCAAGUAUACAAUGUAACACUGUAAAUAAUUAAUAUUAAAAAACCAAUAGCUUAAGAAAUUUAAUGAAAUCAUGAUCUUAAUUACAAAUUAUAUAUACAAUUAAGAAGCAAAACUAGCUUACCUUUUUGCUGGCAUGAACAUGAUUCAGCAACAAAGUGAAAAUAAGAAGACAUAAUAUGGAGCAAUCCAUUCUUCUCUGUUUUUGGAAAGUCAUGUUUAGCUUAGCUUAGAGCUUUAUGCUUAGUUCCCCUCUGAAAUAUAUAAUAAUAACAUACGGGACAAUAAAAGAAAGCUCAAUGCUAAUUUAUUCUUUGCAUUUUGGAAAGCUAAAUGAAAGUAUUAUGUCCAUGAGAGUUGUCAACUUAGGCUUUGUUUGCUAGUUUGGAGGGAAAGGGAAGGAAAUGUUUGGAAAAAAAGGAAGGAGUAAGUGGAAGAAAUAGAGAAUAUUGGAAGGAUGCGCUUUGGGGGCUUAUUUUUAAUUUCUUUAAAAUAUAAAACCCUCCUCAUUUGGGGAACUAAAAAAUUGUAUUGGAGGAGGGUUUUGGGGAGGUUUGAGAUGAUUUAUAUAAAUUCUUCAAAUUUAAUAAUUAAAAAUAUAUUAAUCAUAAGCAUUAAUUUAUCACUCUCUAAAAAAACACUCUUUUAUAAAAAUGUGAAAGAUUUCUCAAUUUUCCCUUAUAUCCCCCCAAGCCUUUCAUUCCUCUCCCACCCAAACUCCCAAACAAAGGCUAGUGUAAAAAAUUUCACCUUUAACUUUAAAAUGAGAGUGUUGUAAAAUGAAUAUUAGUGACACCAUUAUCGAUUAGAAUUUCCCUUACAAUUUUCUUUUUCUUUCAAAAUGCAAUGUGAAAUUUUAGAGUUAAAUAAAUUUUUGGUUUUUUUUUAAAAGAAAUUUUCGAUCUCUAUAAAUAUGUAUCAUUUUUCAUUUUUAACCCGUCUAAAAAAUUCCUUCAAACAAUAGUCCUCCGAAUAUUUUCCAUCAAUAUAUUUGAUUUCCACAGUUAAAGGUUGCAGGUUGCACAUGUAGCACGGUAUAGAGUGACUACAAAUGAAAUUUAAUAUAUUUAUAAAAAUAAAUUGAUCCCAUAUUUACGUGCAGUGGGGACAGUUUGAUUAAAAAAAUGAAAGAUUAACCACAAAAGAACGUGGCAAAAAAAUAAAAAAAUGAAGAAGCUCCCAUGGAAUCCAAUAAAUAUGUAUUUAUUUAGUACUACACUACCUUUGAGGCAGACUUAAUUUGACCACUAAGUUGAAUCAAAGAAUCAUUUUUUUUUAAAAAUGUAAUAUUAUUAUCCAGUCAAAAGAAAAAAGUAAUCACAUAUUCACACAUACCCUACCCACUAUGACCAAAAAAAUAUUCACACAUAUAGCCACGUGAUUAUUGUUUGUUUGCUUUAAGCUCAAACUUAUAUAUACAGAUCUGUGAAAAAUUUGUAAAUCAUCCACCAAUAUUGAUUAAAAAUAAAUCCAGCUACUUGAAUGAUGGUACUACCCACGUUGAUCAUGAUUCUGUGUGUCCUUCCAACACUCUCUGUUGCUGAAGAUAGUGAAGCAAAAUUAGCACUAUUGAAAUGGAAAGAUAGCUUUGACGACCAAAGUCAAACUCUCUUGUCAACUUGGAAAAAUAACACAAAUCCAUGCAAACCCAAAUGGAGAGGAAUUAAGUGUGACAAAUCCAAUUUCAUUUCUACCAUAGGUCUUGCAAAUUUAGGAUUAAAAGGUACACUUCACUCUCUCACCUUCUCUUCAUUUCCCAACCUCCUUAUGAUAGACAUCCGUAACAACUCCUUUUAUGGAACCAUCCCCGCACAGAUUGGUAACUUGUCAAACAUAAGUAUUUUGACUUUUAAAAAUAAUUAUUUUGAUGGUUCCAUCCCCCAAGAAAUGUGUACAUUAACAGGUUUACAAUUCCUUGAUAUUUCCUUUUGUAAAUUAAAUGGAGCAAUUCCUAAAUCCAUAGGAAACUUAACCAACCUAUCAUAUCUUAUUUUAGGAGGCAACAAUUGGUCUGGUGGACCUAUUCCUCCUGAGAUUGGUAAAUUAAACAAUUUAUUGCAUCUUGCAAUUCAAAAAAGUAACCUAGUCGGUUCCAUUCCACAAGAAAUUGGGUUUUUGACAAAUCUUGCAUAUAUUGAUUUGUCAAAAAACUCUCUAUCUGGUGGUAUUCCUGAAACCAUAGGGAACUUGAGCAAAUUAGAUACACUUGUUCUUUCUAAUAACACCAAGAUGUCUGGUCCAAUUCCACAUUCCUUGUGGAACAUGUCUAGCUUGACCGUACUCUACUUUGAUAACAUAGGUCUUUCUGGUUCAAUCCCUGAUUCCAUACAAAACUUGGUUAAUUUGAAGGAACUUGCACUUGAUAUCAAUCACCUUUCUGGAUCCAUUCCUUCCACUAUUGGAGACUUGAAAAAUCUCAUUAAGUUGUAUUUGGGAAGUAAUAAUCUUUCUGGACCAAUUCCUGCCUCUAUAGGAAAUUUGAUCAAUUUGCAAGUCCUCAGUGUCCAAGAAAACAAUCUCACUGGAACUAUUCCAGCUUCAAUUGGAAAUUUGAAGUGGCUCACUGUUUUUGAAGUAGCUACCAAUAAACUUCAUGGUAGAAUUCCAAAUGGUCUUUAUAACAUAACCAAUUGGAUUUCCUUUGUUGUGUCCGAAAAUGAUUUUGUUGGACAUUUGCCGUCUCAAAUAUGCUCUGGUGGAUCGUUAAGGUUAUUAAAUGCUGAUCACAACCGUUUCACCGGUCCAAUACCAACAAGUUUGAAAACCUGUUCUAGCAUUGAAAGAAUCACGCUGGAGGUGAAUCAAAUAGAAGGUGAUAUAGCACAAGAUUUUGGUGUAUAUCCGAAGUUGCAAUAUCUAGAUCUGAGUGACAAUAAAUUUCAUGGACAAAUUUCACCAAACUGGGGGAAGUCUCUUAAUCUUCAGACCUUUAUAAUAUCUAACAAUAAUAUUUCUGGUGUUAUACCAUUAGAUUUUAUUGGUUUAACCAAGCUGGGCGUGCUUCAUCUUUCUUCAAAUCAAUUGACUGGGAAACUCCCAAUGGAAGUACUAGGAGGCAUGAAAUCAUUAUUUGAUCUCAAGAUUAGCAACAAUCAUUUCUCAGAUAACAUCCCAUCAGAAAUUGGAUUGCUGCAAAGACUUCAAGAGUUGGAUCUCGGAGGAAAUGAGUUGAGUGGCAAGAUACCAAAAGAACUUGUAGAGCUACCGAAUUUACGAAUGCUGAAUUUGAGCAGAAACAAAAUUGAAGGAAUUAUUCCAAUUAAGUUUGAUUCAGGUUUAGAAUCUCUUGAUCUCAGUGGCAAUUUUUUGAAAGGAAAUAUACCAACAGGUCUUGCAGACUUGGUGCGGUUGUCAAAGUUGAAUCUCUCACAUAAUAUGCUUUCAGGAACCAUUCCUCAAAAUUUUGGAAGGAAUUUGGUUUUUGUUAAUAUAUCAGACAACCAGUUAGAAGGUCCACUACCAAAAAUUCCGGCUUUUCUUAGUGCUUCAUUUGAAUCAUUAAAAAAUAACAAUCACUUAUGCGGAAAUAUCAGAGGUUUGGAUCCUUGUGCUACAAGCCAUAGUCGAAAGAGAAAAAAUGUCCUUCGACCGGUAUUCAUUGCUUUAGGAGCUGUAAUAUUAGUGUUGUGUGUGGUUGGAGCUUUGAUGUAUAUAAUGUGUGGAAGAAAAAAACCAAAUGAAGAAAGUCAAACUGAAGAAGUGCAGAGGGGAGUACUAUUUUCCAUUUGGAGUCAUGAUGGAAAAAUGAUGUUUGAAAAUAUUAUUGAAGCUACUGCAAAUUUUGAUGACAAAUAUCUCGUUGGAGUCGGAAGUCAAGGAAAUGUUUACAAGGCAGAGUUAUCAGAAGGUUUGGUUGUUGCUGUGAAGAAGCUACAUCUAGUAACAGAUGAAGAAAUGUCAUGUUUCAGUUCAAAGUCUUUUAUGAGUGAGAUUGAAACCUUGACAGGAAUUAAACAUAGGAACAUCAUAAAACUUCAUGGAUUUUGCUCACAUUCUAAAUUCUCGUUUUUGGUUUACAAGUUCUUGGAAGGUGGAAGCUUAGAUCAAAUACUAAACAAUGACACACAAGCCGUUGCAUUUGAUUGGGAAAAGAGGGUGAAUGUUGUUAAAGGUGUGGCCAAUGCUUUGUCCUACUUGCAUCAUGAUUGCUCGCCUCCUAUAAUUCAUCGCGAUAUAUCAAGCAAGAAUGUUCUUCUUAAUCUUGACUAUGAAGCUCAUGUUUCCGACUUCGGGACAGCUAAGUUUUUAAAGCCUGGCCUACAUAGUUGGACACAAUUUGCAGGCACUUUUGGGUAUGCAGCUCCAGGUUAGAUCCAUUUCCCCUCUUAUAUAGAAAUUGAUAUUAUCAUUUUUCAUUUAAUAUUGAAACUCAUAUUGAUUUGUGCAACAUAUAACUUACAAGUACAUUUGUUUGUUUGCAGAGUUGGCACAAACAAUGGAAGUGAAUGAGAAAUGUGAUGUAUACAGUUUUGGAGUACUUGCUUUGGAAACCAUAAUGGGAAAACAUCCAGGAGAUCUCAUUUCAUUAUUUUUGUCACCUUCUACGAGACCGAUGGCUAACAAUAUGUUGUUAACAGAUGUUUUAGAUCAAAGACCUCAACAAGUAAUGGAACCAAUUGAUGAGGAGGUUAUCUUGAUUGCAAGGUUGGCAUUUGCUUGCUUGAGUCAAAAUCCACGUUUACGACCAAGCAUGGGUCAAGUUUGUAAGAUGCUUGCAAUAGGAAAAUCACCUUUGGUGGGAAAGCAACUUCACAUGAUAAGACUAGAACAACUUCACUAUGAAAUAGUCUACUGUACAUAGAUAAUAAUGAUACUAAGAUCCUUGUCUUUUGUUGUUUCUUCAGUUGUAAGCUUUGUGGUAAUAAGAGUUUGACUUUGAAAAUUUCAUAUGGAAAGAUUGUACAAAUGAACAAAUUUGCACCGAUUUCUUUCUCCCUUUCUAUUGCACCAAUUACUACCUCAAAAUGAACAUGAAAAACAGAUUCAUUCAUGAACAACAGUAGUAAAGGUUCAACAGCAGUAGUAAUGGUGAUAAAUUCAUCCUUUAAAUGCAAAAGUGCUUUUAAUAAAUUCAUCAUUUAAUUAGGUGUAGAAAAUUAAACCAAUGGAGAAGAAAUCAAUGAACGAAUUUAAUUUAGAAAUCAUGUCUAAAUAUUGAGCGAAUAAAAUUGAUCACACGGGGAAGAGUUUCUUACCUUUAUUUAUCACGACAUGCUUGGCUAACUGGCUCCCUGGAGUUGUGAUUUCUGUAAAAGAGUAGAAAAGCACGGAAAAUGUUGGUUACAAAUUGUGUAGAUGCGGCGAUGUAAUUUGAUUGGGCGUUUCCUCACAGACAGACACGGGAGAGUGCAUAUGUUGAGGGAAAACAAGGCAGGCGUAAGUUCUCCAGUUUGUGUCAAUUAAGGAAGCAAAUUUCUGAAGUUCCUAUUCCAAUUUUUUCACCAUCUUGAUGUCCAAAAAGUUUUGAUAGGAGGGCCAUGGUUUUUCAAUAAACAUGUUGAUAAUCGAAGAUAUGAACAGAGAAGAGGAGACGUCACAAGUGCAGCUGUAUAAGGGGCCUUUUUGGAUACAGAUCACAACUUAUAUCAGCAAGGCAUGUGACAGAGAAGGUGGGUAAGAAACUGGCGGAGCCGUUUGGGGAGUUCCUGCGGCAUAUGCCAACACAAGUUCUGCAUGCAUGUGUUUUAAAAAGAAAUGGAGAUGAUGACUUAAAAAUGGUGAAUCGAAAUUUAAAACUAUGAAAUAUCCUUUUAAAACUAUGAUGCAUGCGUCACAUUCCUUAAUGACGCAUGCUGAAGAUUGAAUAAUUCAUUUUUAUCUUUAGUCCACUAAGCAUUUGCGUCAAAUUAAUAACCUAGUCUACUAAACAAUAUUUAUCUAAAUACAUAGUACAUAUAAAAUCAGUGUGAAAGUUAAAAUAGAAAAAAAUACUUAUAAUUUCAAAUCACCUAUGGUUGUGCACGAUCUAUAGAUAUCACACUCUCAUAUACAUCAAUUAUUAGGGUACAUAUACACUAGUUAUUAUAAUACUCAUUACUAAGCACAUAUACUUAUUAUAAAACUCAUUAGACUACCAUACAUACCCAAGCAACAACAACAUUGAUGAAAUAACAAAAGCAAACUGGUAUAAUCUAAUAGCCAAACAUGCAUUUACAUAUGCAUCUACAUUUUAUUGUCAUAACUGAACCAACUCAGAAAUAAUCUUUCAUUUGCGUUGAACAGUAACGGGGCUCCUUACGAUGUGUUUUCCAUUUGUCCAUCUCAAUUCUCCAAAUUGGUAUUUCCUCCUUGGAAUCUCACUUGUUGCUUGAACAAUAACUUGAAAUGUCUUCUUUUCACCUAUUUUCUUGAAAUUCAAGGAACUUGGUACAACAGCAAUUUUAUAUCCAGGCAAUUGAACUUUAGCAAAAUAUGUACUUGGUGGCCCGACAUUGGUAACUGUACGAGUGACAGUAAUAGCAUUUAAUCCAAGAUUUGGUAAUGUGAUUGAAGGGUAAUUCAAGUCAUCUAUACUAUGAGUUCCUGAACAAGUAAAUGUCAUGUUGAAAUUAAGUGCUGAAAUGAGUUGCUUGUUGUAUCCAGAGGCACAUAAGAAGUUUAAGUAAUCCUUAAUCCCUAGAUCAUAAACAAGUCCAGGAUCUAUUGCACUGUUGGGUUGAAUAUGUCCUGAACCAUAAGCAAAUGGAUCUGCCAGUGUUUUAUCAAAUGCAUCGCUUAUAGGCUUGUUGGUGUUAUCUCUCGUGGUUGCUGCAAGCCAACAUAUUUUGACAAGUAAGUAAUGACUAAUCAUUUUAAAAACCAGAAAUCAUUUGGUUCUGACACCAUUUUGUGAAUGAUCCCCACAUAAUAAAGUGGUAAGACCCACAUGAAUUUCAAUGGAUAAGAGAAUGGAUGUUAGAAAGAAAAUGUUAGAGUGAUUGUUGAUAGGAUUACUCAUGAAUUUAUAUUUUCACUUUAUAAAUCAUAUAUAAUCUUGAUAAAUAAUCAUACAUAUGAAUAUGCAAUAUUUUCUAACUUAAACUUAAAUCCACUAUCAAUUACUAAUAUAUGAUUAGGAUUUGCUCUUAUAGGUAGCAUGUGAGUGAUGAGAGAGGAAAUACCAGUGGUCAUAAUAGCUGAUUUAAUAGCUGCUGGACUCCAAUUAGGAUGAAGUGUUUUGAUAAGUCCAGCAGUCCCAGCAACAUGAGGGCAAGACAUAGAAGUUCCUUGCAUUACAUUGAAGGGAAAACCUCGGCGAUUGUCUGUUAGUAAAUUAGAUGCACUAGCAAACAAUGAAUAGGCAGCAAGUAUGUUCACACCAGGUGCAGUUACAUCAGGCUGAAACAAAAAACAAAAGCAAAGCAAUAUUGAAAAAUUAACAUAAAUUAAAAAGGAGUGCUAUAUAAUGUUGAAACUUUCAGGAGAGCAACGCUGCAUAAAUUUAUCACAUUGGAUUAAGAGCAACUAUACAAGUAUAUGAGUGUUUUCAUUUAUACGUUGCUCAACGUCUACUUUUUCAUUCAAUAUGGACUUUCUGACUCACACUUAACAUGCAUUAUAUAGCGAGUAGAUAACAAAUCCAAGUGUACAAUAAACACCUUGAGUAUAUAUGGUUGAACUUGAUUUGGACCUCUAGAUGAGAAUGAAGCCAUAACUGGAGCUGGCUUUCUUCCAAUGAGUGUUAUUGCUUGGGAAAAUCUUAUUUUUGUACCCGACUCUAUUGUAUCCCUGCAAAUAAAAAUAUAUGAUUAUGUAUAAAUAGUUCCCUUAAUCUUGUAACAUGUGAUUUUAUGAUGUUACAAGAAGGGUACAUUUUCUUUUUUGAAGGAAAGAAGGGUGCAUAUAAUUUCACUAAAAAAAGGUUCAUGUAAUUAAUAAUUACGUGGCAGUUACGCCUAAACGAGGAGGUGCUGUAAUCGCUGCUUGCCCAUUUCCACCAACAGUAGACAAAACAUGAGGCUCAGAAAGAAGUGUAUUCCCACUAACUUUUGGUUGAUUUUCCAAAAACAUUCCCUUUGCACCUGCAGAUAAAGCUUCCUGACCCUCAGCAACUGAUUUUAUUUUCCCUUCUCGAGCACAUGCCACUAUUUUACCCUUCACUUUUGAAGGAUCAAGUGUUCUUGGUCUACAAAACCGACUGCAACAAUAUGUACAUAAAAAAUUAGUGGUAAGAAACCAUGAGCAAGACUUGUGUGAUCACGAUCAUAAUCGUGAACAUAAAAAAUAGGAGAUGAUGAAUACAAUUGAAGCUUUUGGAAUUUACACUUACGCAUCUCGGGUUGUGGCAUUGGAAAAUUUAGCAUCAAUAGAAUUCACUAGAGUAAAAGACUGGUUAGGUGGUAAGUCUACAAAAAGACUGGCUCCCUAAUAUAAAAUAAAGUAGAAAACAAUUAUUUCACAAGUAUAAUAAUAAAUUAACAGCAAUAAUAUCACAAUAAAUAUGUCAAAAAGAAAAAAAUCAGAAUAUUAAGAAUACCCUAAUUAUUUGGUCACCAAUGGUUAUGGUACUGCUGAAGUCUCUGUCAAUUGUACUAGCAGCAACUGUGAAUACCCAAGGAGCAACAUUAACAACACUUCCAGGGGUAGGUCCUUCAUUUCCCGCAGAUGCAACUAAUAAUAUAUUUCUAGCAAGUGCAUGAAAUGCACCUAUUGAAACCUCGUCGGUAAAAAUUUCUUCAGAAUUUGUACUAGAUGGGCCUCCAGCAGAAACAGAUAUUAUGUCAACACCAUCAUCAAUUGCUUGAUCAAUAGCAGAUAAUACAUCAGCACCAAAGCAACUAGCGGCAUCUGUUAGAGACCAGCACACUUUGUAGGUUGCAACUCUAGCUCUUGGUGAACCUCCUUUUAUGGUACCAUUUCCAAUGUUAAAUAUGCUUGCACCUGGUACGAAGUUUCCACCGGCUGUUGAUAGUGUAUGAGUACCGUGACCUACAAAGUCACGUGCUGUACGCUGCGAUGUGGGAAGUUUGCCAUUAUAUCGCUCAUAAGCAUCGCUGAAAAAUCUGGCUCCAAUUAGCUUCCUGAUAUGUAUAUGUAGUGCAGUUAAUCAACAGAAAUAUUGUUAGAGUAACUUCCUCUAUUGCCAUCAAUGUUGUUGCAACAACAUCAGACCGACCAGUUUAAUCGAUCAUCCAAUGCCGUCAAUAAUCUCCUUUUAAUAUAUUUUUUUACAGACGUUUUUAAUAUUAUUUAAACUUAAUGUGCAAUUUAAAAAGAAAAAUAGUACUAAGCAUAAUUGUAUAGUCAAAGAAAAUCAUAAAAAGGGAAGCAGGUUGAAAGAGAAACCUGUUACAAGGAACUUUCUUAGAACCUCUGAGUUUGUUAAUUUGACAGACAUUACCCCCACGCCAUUUUGCUGGAAUUGGGCCAAUUCCUCUGUCGCUAAAACUCCUUGAUUCCGGCCAAACACCUAAUCCAAACAGUAGGGUAAUACAUAUUUUGAAUAAUUAAGUCAUCUAAGUUUAAUUAAAUCAUUAAUAAAAAAGAAACAGAUCUUUCACAUGGAGAUUAUAAUAUUGAAUCUGUCAAUGUUAUCAUCUAUUUUAAUAAAAAUAAUUGAAAUUCUUUGACUCGUGAACUGUACUUGACUUAAUUAUUACCACGUGUAUGUAUUGUGAUAAAAUAAAAUAUAGUAUUUGGAUAACAAUGAUUAAGUCAAGAAAGCAUCUUGCCAACUCAAACAAAGCCUGUUGUUUUUGUCUAUUUUGAUAUCAAUUAAUUUCUCAAAUGAAUUACAAUAUUAAUCUGUUGCUUUUGGAAUAUAUAAAUUAAGAUCAUCUGUUAUGUGUUGAACAACAAAGAUGUAGAGAUGUGAAACAAGAUACAGGUGAGAUUGAUCCCACGAGCUACAGGACACAAAAACGAAAAUAUUUUUCUAAUUCAUUAAUAUGAACAGUGAGAUUUAUUAACUUUAAGUUUUAGAUUUGGUGUAAGUCACGUGAAAAUAUAGCCACCGAAGAUUGACCGGCAAAUGCAAGACAAAAAACAUAAAAACUGCAUGAAAAUCAAAGAAUUUUAUUUUAUAAACAAAAAAAAAAAAUUGUUGGUUUCUCUAAGUUAAUCUUGAAGAAUAGUGAUAAUCUAACAAGAAAUUAAAAGGAACAUGGGUGGAUUCGCAGGUUGAUUAAAAAUUAAUUUAUGAAUACCACUUAAAAAUUUAUCCAUGUGGUCAAUUUCUAUUAAUUUUUGAAAAUUUACACAAUUCUUCUAGGAUCAUACAUACCUCACCAGAAAUGAGAAUAUAAGAAAUAAACUAAAUUUGAAGAGAGAGAGAGAGAAAAAUUAAAUCCAUUUUUUUUAAAAGAAUAAGUCACCAAUUUCUGUUAUCAAUAAGAGAAACUUGAAACCUUAUACUUAAGACAUAAAUCUAAAAAAUAUAUCAAAAUCAAAUAUAGGAUCGAUGAUUCAUACACCAAUCCAAAGAAAGGUACACAAGGUUCCCUAUCCUAUCCCCUAUGACUGAUAUAUUUAUUUUUAUAUACAAAACCCUAUAAUUGACAAGAAAUAAGACAGUGUUAACAAAGAUAAAAAAGACAAAGAGAAUGCGGUGGCGGAGCCAGAAAAAAAUGUCAGAGUGGGCCACUAAAAUUAACUAUUGAAAAAUUGUUUAAAGUCUCGCAAAUUAGACCUGUAAUUGAUUUAUUUAAAUUUUUCGGGUGGGCCACUGCACCAAUUUGCGGGAAUUUGGAUCAACCGAAACCUAAAACCGACAUAAAAUUGUAUAAAAUCUCGCAAAAUAGACCUAUAAUUGAAUUAUUUAAAUUUUCGGGUGGACCACUACACCACUUUGCAGGAAUUUGGAUUAACCAAAACAUAAAACCGACACAAAAUUGCAUAAAAUCUCGUAAAAUAGACCUAUAAUCGUUGAUUUGGGCCCAGCCCAUGAAGGGCUCCGCCACUGAAGAGAAGGUGAGGUGAUAAGUUUUUGGUGUGAUGGAAAGACAGAUAAAAAUAAAAUGAAGUAUUGGUGGUAAUUAUUAUUAAAUAAACGAUUUUGAUUGGAUUAUAGAACAUUGAAUGUGGUAAAAUUAUAAAAUUUAGUACCUGUAUCAAUGUUAGCUAUGAUGGUAUUUUCACCAAACCUUCCCUUUUGCCAAGCUGAGUUGAUAUCAUUUCCAUGCAAUCCAAGAAAUUCCCAAGAACGUGUAGUGUGCAGUUUAUGCUCUUUGCUCAAGAACACAGACACCACCUUUGGGUUUUCUGCAUAUAUAUUGAAAAUAUCUUGUAGUGAGGUUUAAAAAUUAAAACAUUUAGAUAGAUCUACAAAAUUUGUUUUUCUGACUUGCAAGUUGUGCAGCUUCUUCCUCUUCAAGCAUAGCUGCAAAGCCAUUGAUCUGUUUAUUGUAAGAAUAAAUUAUUGCUUCUUUUGCCUCCUCUUUACUGUGAAUGAUCAGUAUACAAUAGUUAAUCAAUCAAUUUAAUUUCCUCUAAAGAAAAGCUUGAGCUGAAUAUUGUAGCAGUUAUUAUAUAUACCUUCCUACGAUUGAACCCAGUAAAUCAUAAUGAGAAGAUGUAGCAGUUUCAAGGUCAACAGAGGUAGGAGUUGGACCAUGUGAGUGCGCUCCCAUGUAAACAAUGUAGCACUGAAAAAGAAAAAAAAAAUAAUAGUAAAAAACCAAUAGCUUAUGAAAUUAAUGAAAGGAUCAUCUUAAUUACAAUGUACAUAUGUAAUUAAGAAGCAAAACUAGCUUACAUUUUUGCUGGCAUGAACAUGAUUCAGCAUCAAGAUGAAAAUAAGAAGUGAUGAGAAAAGAAGAUGAUGAAGAGAUAAAAUGUAGCGACCCAUUUUUCUGUCUAUGGAAAGUGGUUAGCUUAGCUUAGGGGAUCUAUGCUAAUUCAUUUCCUUAUGUAAUGAAAGGCACAAAUAUUUAUAGAGUUUUUCUAUCCGAUCAUUUGUAAAUUUACUUAUGGUAAAAAGUUCAAAAUUGUAAGUUUGUAUGAGAAAUUGUGUAUUUUAUAUCAAAUAUAUAAUUUUUUUAAUAAAUAGUUCUUGUUUUUUAAUAAAAAGUUACUACUUUUACUUAUUUUAACAUGUGCAAUGUUACAUGUGUUACUCAAACUUGUGCUUAUAUAUGAGAAUGGGAGAAAAGACAGCUCAAGAGUAUUCUUAUUCUUAGCUUUUUGGUAAGCUAAAUAAGAUAUUGUAUUAUAUAUAAAUAUAUAAUAGAAGACAGAUCAUAUCCUAAGUUAUCUAAAAAUUGUAACCAAUUUAGAUUGGUCAUCUUGGCUCCUUUAGAUGAAAAAAAUUUGGUUAGUAAAGACAAUUCACCUUGUUGACUUUAAGUUUUCCAAUGACUAACCACCAUUUAACAGCAAAGGAGGUUUAGUACCUGGCAGAUCAAAAAAUGAAGGGAACAGAAAACAGAGUAAAAAGAGGAGUGAUAUUUGAACAAUAAUCUGAAAUAAGUUUUGUGACAAAUUUUUUUUUAUUUGUCAAAAACAAUAGAGAGAAAUAAAAAAUAAAUAUAAAAACAUAAUGUAAGUAUGAGAGAGUUGUCACACAAUAUCUGUAUAAAUAUCAUUUCUCAAAAGACAAAACAGAAAUUCGCACCCCUUGCCACAUUCCUAAUUUGCAAUAGAGUGAAAAAUUUCACAUCAGUACCAACACCCUUUCAUACCAGCAGCUGAUUACAUACCUUACAUUCUUAAAGUUAGUAGUAGAUAAAUAUUAUCUACCCUUAAUUUAAAGUGUAUUAUACUUCCUCUACUUCAAAAAUUUAUUUAACCUUAUUUGUAAUCAGUAGUGCCUAAAUCUCAUUUCUUACAAUAAAUAAAUACAAGUUUUCGCUGAGACCAUAAUGCUUGUAUUAUUUUGGAUAUUGGAAUUCUUUUUUUGGAAAAUAGGUGUAUGAAGUGUUAGAGCAUCCACAACGGAAUCAUAUAUCUUUUGGUACUUAAGUACGACUUACAGCUUAUACAUUAUUCAUUUAUAAUUUUCUAACAGUUGUAUCUAAUAAAUACUCAUUUUCUUCAAUUCAACACUUUACACAAAUUUCGUAAACAAAAUUCAUUAAUCGUCAAUAACUCUAUCAUUAUAUUUUAAUAUUCUGAUAUUAAAAAAAACACGGAUCCUCUAAAAACUUGUUCCUCACUUGCUUGGCGUCCAUUUCACUUAAAUGAGGAGUCACAUAGGUUUCGACCAACUCAAAAUUGAACGUUGCAAAAGGGAAAAAAGUUAGGGGAAUGUUGUUUUUUUAAUAGGAGCCGAACUCAUAACUAGUGGAAAGUUAGGGGAACAAAAGUGUGUUUAAACCUAUUAUUUAAAAACGUCCUCUCCCUUUGAAUAUUGUUUUAAUUGCUUCAUUUUUAGCUUCUCAUGAAUUUUUAAUUUUAAGCUUCAUGUUGCUUCAUUUUAUUUCCAUUGCUCUUGUCAAAUGAAUAUUUUUUAAUUCCAAAAAAAGGAUUGUUGCUCUUUGUUUCAUAUUUGCAUUCUCGGCUAUAACUUUUGCAAUUCAUUGUUUGCUAACCAUAAUAUUCUAUCUUCAUCUUUCGACAAAUAAACAAUUUAAACGAGGAAAACAAAUAGAUUAAAGAAAUUAAAGCAUAUAAGAUCAAGAAUUCCAUAUCUAUGUUGGAUCUUGAAGGAUUUUUGGUAUGUUGGUUUUUGAAUAUUUUUGGUGAUAAGAUUAGAUGUUGUUGUUGAUGAUGGUGUGGUGAUGGGAUGCUGUUGUAAUUCUUUUUUCUGAGUUGUGGUGGUAAUGGUGGUGGCGUAUGAUUUUUUGCAGGUUAUGGUGGCGGUGUUGGAUUUUUUUCUUUCUUUUGGGUUAUGUUCUUUUAUUUUUCUGGACUUUUGUCCUUGAACUUGAUAAAUAAGGUAUGAAGUCCAUAUGAAAUCAAGAAGAAAUAGAAGGAAUUAGAUAAAGAAAAGUUGUGUUGAUGGUUCACUAUUAGAUUCAAUGAUCUUGCAAGGUUCAAUAGUCUACUUUGUUUUAGAAUGAUCAAAAUGUUAAAAUUAAAUAAAUUAAUAAGUUCUACGGUAUACCACCUAAAAUGUUGAUCAACCCUAGGCAUUUUAGGUUAAAAUUGACAAAAUGAGACCAAAUUAACAAAUAAAGAUGAAAUUGAGGGAUUAAAAUGGAACUUCUCCAGUCAAACUCUAUUACAAAAAUGUUGAUGUGGAAAAUUUGAUGUUGAAGCGCCGCUUCAGCCAGCAAAUUGUAUUUCUUCUUAAUUAUAAAAAAUUAUCUUCUUCAUUUGUUCAUUAAUCUUCUUCAUCAUCACCAUUUACCCAAAUCUCACCCCUUUUCAUUAAAAACCCUUUUCAACCCAUUUGUUAUAAUUUCAUAGAAGAGAAAAUAGAAAAAUAAGCAAACAAAAAGAGAAAUAGAAGGGAAUCGGAAACACUAGAUCUCAAUAUCGACCAAACAAUAAUAAAAAACACAACAAACACCCAUCAAGAUGAUUUCACCAAUAUCGAUUCAAGUUUCAUAGAAAACACCGAAGACAAAAUGAAAGAAAUUGCUUCAGUUCUUCCAAAAAUGGUCAAGGAAUAUCACAAGAUUCAUCUCAACACAUUUCGUUAAUAUAAAUAAGAAGAUAAUAGCUUUUUAAUUUUUUUUGGAUUUGAGUUUUUUUCUUCUGGAUUUUCUUCCUUGUUUGCCCUUCAUGUCUUCUUCCUUCAGCAAGGUGAUGUUAAGCUUCAAAACCAUUCCCCCUAUUCUUCACUUGUGUCUCUUCUUCUCUUUGAAUUCUCUAUUUUUCUUAGUUCUCGUGAUUUGAUUUUUACCUUUAUUGUUUUUCUAUGAAGUUGUUCUUCUGCUACUUGAAAGAUUUUGCGGGAAGAGAAAUGACGGUAGAACUCAAGAAUGAUUUAGCCAUCAAAGGAUUAAGUUGUUAGAUUUUGAAACUCUAAUAAUUUUAAUUUGGGAUUGUUAGAUUAUGAAACUCUAAGGUCCUGUUUGAAUCACUUUUGAUUUUUCCAUGUUUUUGGUUUUUAAAACAGAAAAAGUGAAAAGCAAACCAGCAUUUAUCUGUUUUUGUUUUUUCUGUGUUUUUGGUUUUUAAAAACAGCAAAAGUGAAAAUAGUUUUCAAAACCUAUUUUGCAAAACAAUCAAUUCAAACAAGUUUUCAAUUUUUUAGUUUUUGAAAACAGAAAACAGUUUUUAAAAAUUGUGAUCAAACAGACCCUAAGAAUUUAAUUAUGAACCUUGGUAGUGUUAGGUUUUGAAAAUGAAAAGAGAUGUUGAAUUUUUUUUAUUUUUUUUUGGUUUGAAUGUGGAGAUGAUCACUUUUUUGGAUUUGAAGAUGAAGAUGGAAGAAAGAGGAUGAAGAUGGUAUGAUGGUGGAAGGAAGAAGAUGAAGAUUGAUGAGUUUGUCGAGGUUGAAUAAAAAUAUUACUUUUUCUGUUGACUAGAACCUUCCACUUCAGCAUCAAAUUUACCUCUUGAUGACCACAUCAUCGUUUUUCAACGAAGACUGACUGUAGGGGAAAGGUGCAAUCAAUUAACAACUUAGCAAACCUAUUUGAAACUUAAAAAACUUAAAGGACUAACCUGAUAUUUUUGUUGAUCUUAAAGGGCCCACAAAGGUAUUUGGCCUAUCAGUAUUUAUUAAGUUUUAUUUAAAUGGCUAAAAUGGAUUAUAUUAACUAAAUCAAACAAGAUUUUUCCACCAAAGGCAGUAUCAACAAAGACUAAAAGUGUCAUUAUAAUGUUACAUACAAAAUCGAAAAAACAACCAAGAAAGAAAAGAAACAGUUAGGAGAUAGGUUUCAAACACGGGAGAGUAGUGUAUCUUGCUUUCAAUCACUAGGGUUAAGCCACCAGUUAUGCUAAUGGUAAACGGAAGUAGUGUAUCUCGCUUUCAAUCACCAACAAGACUAAAGCUUAAUUUUUUUCAUAUAAAAUAUGCAUAUUUUCCUCCCGCCAUGUGCUGAAAUAUGCGUAUGUUUCUUUCUUUUCAGGUAACCCACACAGAAGAGAGCGUCAAAUAAUCUUCAAACUAAAUUGAUCCUGCUUAAAAAAAAAAAACACCUAAACAUAAAAAAUGUUCAAGAUGUUCCGAAGUGUCGUCACGAUUCACUAUAACAACGCCUAACCAAUUUGAAACAUAGGACCAAAUUCGGUCAAAAUGAUCACAUCUUACAAAUAAUUGAUCCACAUCUUCAUUCAUACCACAACCUCCUAUACACCUUUGAUCAUUAUGAUGAAGCACCCAUCUCCAAACUAAAUCAGAUUUAGUUGAAAAACGGCUGAGAAGCAGACGCCAAGCGAAGAGACUAAUUUUAAGGGGAUCCACUUUGAUCAAAAUAAUAUUAGAAUUAACAAAUUGAAUUUUAUUAUUCACAACGCGAUGUCAAGAAUUAAUAAGCACUACUGGUAGAAAAAUGUUUCGACUGACGUAACUGUCAGACCCACCUAUUUUUCGAACCAUUCUGCAAAACAAUAGAUGUUAACAUUUCACUGCAUUCCCAACUCAUCUGCUCUUCCACACAAGCUAACAACCUCUUUCUCCACUUCCACACCUCUCCCUGGACCCCAACCCUAACAAGAACAUCUCCGCCACAAUCACCAGUUUAUUAAGUUUAAAAAUACGGUCUCUAAAUAUAUUUUUUGUUUCUCCUCUCAAUUUUCUUUGUUUCUAUCUCCUUUGUUUCUUAUACACAACAACUACUACAUUUUAUUUAUCUUUUACUAGACGAAGAGAAGUGUUAGGCUUUUUUCUGGAUGAUAAAAUAGUAAAUUGUUAGGUAUAUGUGAACCAAAUGACAUGAUAUAAUCUAUAUUUUGAGGGGGACAUCAUAUAAUCUAUUAGAAAUUAUAUCUAAUGAUGUAUCAUUUUAAUAAUUGGUUAACAAAGACUAUUGACCUGUCACAAAAUGGAUAUUCAGCAUCUCUCAUAAAAUUAUACCAAAUAUGUAUGAUAUACAAGAGUUAUUCAAAAUCAAGGAAAAAAUGAUGUAAAACCUCCGAAUCAGAAAAUGAAUGGCAUAGAAAACAGAAGAUAAAACAAAAUUGAACUCCUUGCCACAUAUUAAUAAUCUGCAGCAGGUUGGAAAAUUUCACAUCAAUCCCAAUACCCGUUCAUACUAGCAGCUGAUUACAUUACAUGCUUGAAAUUAGUAGUAAAUAAAAUAUUACUAGCUGUUAAUUUAAUGGUGUAUUACACUUCCUCGCCUAUAUCUUGAAAAGAGAUCCUACUAAUGUGAAGUAAUUUGAUCAGAAGAUAAUUAUGUCUGACCAAGAAUUGCUCCCAUCAAUAAUCAAACUCGGAUUCUCCUGAACGAUUAAUUUUAGAGAGAGUUCAUUAACCACUUGAGUCCAAUCACUUGAUUUAAAUAUCAUUUCUUGAUAAACACGAGUUCUCACCAAGACUCUAAAUAUGUGUAUGAGUUUGCAUAAUAGUAUAAUUUUUCUUUCAAAAAUACGGAUAUGAAGAAAGUCCUAUAGUUCCUACUAAGAUCAUACUAAUUGUAAUCAGGCCCGUUCCUAGAGUUUUAUGGGCCUUAGGCAUAAUAUGAAAAAAGGGCCCUUACAUAAUGCAUCAUAAUUUUUUUAGCGCAUUGUUGUGUUUUUUUGCUUUUCAUUUCGUUUUUUUAUUUUGCUUUUCACUACAAAAUAAAUGUUUUUUUUAAACAACAUCUGAAAAUAAAUUAAAUAUUCUAUAUACACCGAAACAAAAUAAAAAUACCGUAGAAGUAGAGAAAAAUAGCACAUGUGAAGUAGACUGAAAUUUUAACACCUUAUUUUCAACUAAAAUAGAAUUUGCUUUGUUACGAAAAUUAUCCCAAUUUCUUGGAUAAUAAAUAUCGUCGAUAUUUUUAAUAUUAGUGAAGUACAUUAUUAGGAGCAAAGUGCCCAAAAAAAUAUCACAAAUUUCUUCGAUAAUAAAUUUUUGAGCAUAUUAUCAAGAACAACCAAAAUUUUUUAUAGGAGUGUGUAUAUAGAAAAUUUUGUGUUACAUGGGAUAUAUAUAUAGCAAAUCUCACUAAAAGGGCCAAAAAUACUAACAGAUAUCAACCCAUUCCUUUAUCAUGUCAAUGUUUGGGCCUUUAAAGAGAAUGUUUCUAUAUAUACCCUCCAAAAUCCAAAUAUUUCUAUAUACACCCCUUACCUUAAAAAAAAAAAAUUGGGCCCCCUACCGGGAUGGGCCCUAGGCCGUCGCACUCGCGGCCUAUGCCUAGGGCCGGCCCUGAUUGUAAUUACGAAUAACUAAUGCUCUAUAUUUUGAGUCUGCGUUGUGAUGGUUUUGCUAUUGAUGAACUAUUAGAAAAUAUGCUUUCAAGUUUUAUAAUGAGAUAAUUCUUUGAGAGUUAUGGACAAUAAAGAUAAUUUUUUAAAGUAAACUACAUUUACAAUAGAAAAAUGAGAGAAAAUAUACAAAAAAAAUAAUUAUUUUGAAUUCAUUAUAAACUUGCAUAAUUUGAAAACUGAAAUUAUAGUUCUUGGUUUUUUAUUUUAUUUUACAUUAAUUAUAAACUAGUCUGACUCAACUCGCACAACUCUCCGGUCAAUUGAUGAUGCUAAUAGAAUGAAUCAACACUCUUAGAGGCUCUAUCUCGGGAUUGAAAAAAAAAAGUUUUUGUUGAAAACAUUGGGAGCAAUGAUGAUAUCUUGGUUGCUCAUUGUUAUAAUCAUGUUUUUUUUUUAAACUAAAGGUAUCUUCCGCACGCAACCGUAAAAAUUAAUCCCCUCGAAGUAUUGAGAUCCAUUUGAAAAGUUGACAUAUCCUAACAAAUAUUUUUCCACGCAUCAUACAUGAAUCAAACUCUGAACCAAAUAAUUAAAGGAUCCAAAUAUCUACCACUCAUGGCAAUGCACUAUAUUAUCAAGGUUUACUUAAGUCGUCCUAAAAUAUAUAAAAAAAAUGAAUAAAAAUAGAACGUACAUAUGUUUUAUUUCUAAUACAAGAUCUAGCUAGGGACGAUUCUCAUAAUACUCUUUAAUAUAGUUUUAUUAUUCUUGUUUUCUUUUUCCUGGAUUAGGUUUUUCCCCUUGGUUUUUUCAUUGAGUUUGUAAAUAUUUAGCUUAUUAAAAAAAUAGUCGUUUUCAUUUAUUAUAAUUAUAAGUUUAUAGUUUGAUUGCUAUUUAUCCAUGUAAAUGUAUUUAGUUUUGUUUUUCAUCUGUACCAGCAACUACCGAUUGGAUGCUGAUGUGGCACAUAAAUCUUAUGUACAUGUCAUGUAUGCAUGUCAUGUGGCUUUCUGUUUGCCACCCCAAACAAAAUAUAUUGAAACUUUUUUUUUUAGGGAAAAAUAUAUGGAAAUAUAUUGUUAGGAACUAAAAGAAUGGAAAUUUUCUCCUAAAAAAAGCAGUUAAAAUUUUGAAUUAGAAAACAUAACAUAAAAAAAUAUUGGAAGGAAAAAAAUCAAAUAAAUAUUCAUGCUACGAGGCCUAAAUGCGCAAUUAUUUAAUAAAUAAUUUAGCAUGAAUUUAUCAUUAUUUACCAAGUCUAAAAACAGUAUUUUUUUUAAUGUACUUUUAUUUGUUUCAAUCUCUAUAAUUUCUUAUUCACAACAAUAAAACUAUAUAUAUUUUGUUUAUUUAUCUUUUAAUACCCCAAGUGGAUUGUUAGUCUUCAUUUCGGUUGUUAAAUAUGUGAUUGUUUGGCAUAUGUGAAUCAAAUGACACUUUCUAAUCUAUCUUUUUUUUUUUUUUUUUUUGAAGGAACUGUCUAAUCUAUCUAAAUAGCGACAUAUACCAUUUUAAACAUAAACUUUAAGGUUCAAUUCAAUCAAUAUUUUUUAUCCAAUGAAGGAAAUUGUUUAUAUUGACUUAAAGGUUUUAGGUUUUAUUGUUGGUCUUCUUCCACAGCAUAAACCAUUUUGCCCUCUUCCAUCUAAUUUUCCUUUCCAAUUGACGCUUUUAUGUAUUUGUAAUAUUGAACUUACCCUCUUCAUAAAUUUUAUUGUUCAAUAUUCAUUCAUCAAAAUAAUGAAAGUUUUCUAAUUAUAUGUAAGAGAAAUGUGAGUAACUUAAUUAAAACAUCUUCGAUGGAGAAUUUUUGAAAUGGGUUUUUAAGUGGAUUUUAUCUAUACACAUCACUCAUUAAACAACAUUUGCUAAUAGUCAAAGAAACACGAGAUGCUCUUAAUAACCUACUCUUUUAUUUUUUUAUUUUUUUUAAAAAGACAAACAACUAUUUAAUUAAUGCAAACAAAAUGACAGCAACACCAACCACAGUUAAAUCAUGCCCCGUGCAAGGUUCUAAAAAAUGGAUCGUUAGGGAUAUCGGCUGGUACAAAACAGUCACGGAAGCCACCGAUACCGUAAUUGGGUGUUUUCAAGGAGUAAACAAAAAUCACAGGAAAGACGUCCUUACGGCCGCGACAAAACACCAUUACUAUCGCGAAACGUCGUUACGGCCACAAACUUCUCAGCUUUUUUCUUUGCAAUUUCGUUGUUACUUUUGCUUCCUCUUUGAUUCAAUUCAGCCAGCUUCAUCCUUUGUUCUUUCUAACACCAUAUCUCACCUCCGCUCCUAAAUUGGCAUAAUAAAUCUGUCUCACUCAUAUAUUAUCAGUUUAUGUUGUAGAUACAUUCACGCUCUGAAAAUUGAGAGAUAAAAUUCGGGUUUUACAUGAGAGCUGAGAUCAAGAGAUGAGUUUAACUGUGUGUUUGUGAAAUUGUGGGUGGAGGGAUUAUAGACGAGGGUGACGGACCACUAACGAAUGAUGCAGGUCAGAUACUUACAUAACACAAAUCCUAACGUUUAUUUGAAUAAAACAAACAGAAAGGACUAAAUGUAGUAACGGUGAGAAACUUAGAGGACCGAAAUAAAUCAAUUUUUAAUUGGAGGACCAAUCCAAUACCAAUUAAAUAGUUAGAGGACCAAAAAGAUAAUUAAGCCUUCAUUUUAUUAUUAUAUUUAUAUUAUAUUGGCUAAAAAUUGUGAUUGUCUACUUUUUAUUCUUAAAGAAAUAUAGAUACUCCUUUUAUGGGAAAAUGUUUUUUCCAGUUAAGCAAAUGCAUCACAAACGUUUCCCAACAGAGACACAGUUGGCAACUUUUAAUUGCAUUGUAGAAAAAAAUUAGCAAUUUGUGAGAUGUAAAUUUGUGACAAUAAGGUGAGAGCAUAUAAAAUAAAUAAUAUUAAAAAAUAGUCAUUAUCUUCAUAUUAAGACGGAUAAUCCGACCAAUAAUCUGAAUUUGAUCCAUGUUUCAUAUUUUUGUCUUGUUUUUUUAUCUGAUCAGAUCCUAUCCAUUGCGUUCAAUCAAGACAGGUUGUAAGAUUGAGUCAUAUUUUAUACACCCCUAAUAUUUUGACACAUAUAUUCAAAAUUUUAAAAAUUAGUUAUAUGAAUCAUAUAUAUGUACUUGAAUCUCAUGGGUUCUUAAGUUAUCAAACUCCUAAUACUUUGCUAAAACACAUGGCUACUGGACCAAUAAGUUUAAAGUUUGUUGCUGCUAUAUGGUGGAUAUGGCGCUGGAGGAACAACAUUGUAUUGGGUGAUAAAACUUGGAAAGCUAGUGAUGUGAUCCGACAAAUUAACCUCAUGGUUGAGGAUAUGGUUUUGUUAUCUACAAUUGAUUCAUGUGCAGCUAAUAAUAGAAGCAAGGUCAAAUGGAAAGCUCCCCCAUCGGGUAAUUUAAACUUAAUGAGGAUGGAAGUUGUGACCAAAGUGGUGUCAUCGGUUCAGGAGGAUUGAUUCGAGACGCUACAGGAAAUUGGGUGGUAGGAUUCUCAUCUAAUGAUGGUUGUGGUGAUGCGCUUAUUGCUGAGUUGUUUGGAAUUUAUAACGGUUUGGUCUUGUUGAUAAACAAUUCGGUCUUGCAUGUUGAGUGUGAGACAAACUCCACUGAGAUCAUAAACCUACUUAUGGACAGACAAUCUCACUCAUUCCAUGCUUAUGCUUCUUUACUAGCUAAAAUAACAAGUUUGUUGGAUCAUCUUCCAUGUUUGGUGUUCAAACAUGUGCUCCGUGAAGGCAAUGUAUGUGCAGACUUUUUGGAUAGGUUGGGGAGGAACUCUACUCUUGGAGUAACAACUUGGGUGACACCUCCUGAUGAGCUGCUCUCGUUGCUCAACUUUGAUGCUUUCGAUUUCUAGUUAGCUUUUGUUUUUUGUUUUUUUAUGACCUUCACCAAUAUAUAUAUAUAUAUAUAUAUAUAUAUAGGGGUUGUAUCAAGUGAGAUGACAUUUUAUAAUGAGAGGGUGAGAGGAUAAAAUAAUGACCCUUAGAUUAAAUUAGAUGGCUGUGAUUAAAUGUUACUUCUAUGACUCGUAUGAUACUCUCUUUUCCCUAUCCCCAGCUGAAACUGAAACGUUUGCUUCCUUCUCCUUGUAUUCAUCGUGACCCUCUCCUCUCAAUAGGUUUCUGAAACAUCAGCUUCCUUCUCCCUGUAUCCAUGGCUUCUCUCUUGCGCUCAGAUUCUUUCUUUAUUGUCACUCUCCUCUUGAUCUUCGUUUGGAAAAAGAUGCAUAGAUUAUAUUUUAGCAACAUGGACUGGUAAUAUAGAGGAAAAAAGCGCAGAGAAUAAAGGAUCCCUUUUGAAAACCAUGACUCCGCCGUAACAGCGUCGUAUCCUCCGACAACCGUUUUUUCGCCGUCGCCAAAGCAUUCACCAAACGUUUCCCUUUCGCCGGUAACCACGACGGAAUAAUCAGGGAUUGCACCUUAAAAUACUUACUGGAAGCUUUACAUUUAUGGCUUGUUAAAAGAAGAUUCACGUUAAUGGUGGAAUGUUCUCAAACAAGAUUAUCCAAUUUUUCUAAAAAUUAAAAUUAAUGGUAAAUUGCUGAAUUUUAGUGUUGAUUAAUUAUUUUUUUCACGUGUUAAUUAAGGGUAUUAUUUUUUGUUGAGAUGGAAAGGCCUGAGAAUAACGUGAAGAAAAUCACAUGAAAUGAGAGCAACAGGAGAGAGAGAAGACGAAGUGGAGAACAGGAAAGAUAGGUUACGGUAUGUGACCCUCUUGGAAGAACAAUUAACUCUAAGGCGUUGAUUUUGAUCUAACGGUCUAAAUUAAUUCCUCUCAUUAUAAAAUGUCCUCUCAUUUGAUACAUCCCAUAUAUGGGAUAUAUAUAUAUAUAUAUAUAUAUAUAUAUAUAUAUUUUGGUCAAGUAGUCUAGUGGCUAGAGCUCACACAAUUUAAUUGUGGAGAAGUGGAGUGUCCGGGGUUCGAACCGCGGCCCCUGCGUAUAAAGUGUAAUAUCCCUACCAACUGAGUUAAGCUCACGGGGAUUAUGAAUCACAUAUUUUAAUUCAUUCGACAUGAGUUUAACAUUUUCUUUUUAACAAAUUAAAAUGCAAUAUAUUGAUACCGACGGCCUAUCUCUCGAGCAAAAGGUGUGCCAAAGAGAAUAUAGUCCAAUAACUAAAAGGUGUGCCAAAGAGAAUAUAGUCCAAUAAUUACAUGUUAGCCAUCACCCAAAACAUAAAAAUGGAUUCCGACAUCAUUUAUGAAAUUUAUAAUGAUAAGCCACAAAUUGAGCCUUAUACCAUCAAAAGGAAAGAAGUUUGAUGUUCUCCAAAAGCUAAUAAGGAGUACUUUACUGAGCAUUGCAGAAAAUUAUGUUUUCCCUUUAUACAUACCAAGGCCGUCCCAACAACUCGAAGGCUCGGUUAUAUAAACUUGACAAUUUUCAUUUAAAAAAUGUUAAAAAUCAAAGUCCAACACUGCUUCUGAUGACAAACAACUAAGUUGUAGUUAAAUAUAAUGAACAAUAGUAAACACACGAUUUUUACCUACAAACAAAUAGACAUUUUCCUAUGAACAAUGCAUAAUUGACAACAAAAUUGUUGUCUUCCAGACUUUUAUCCACCAAAAAAAUAAUAUUUAAUGACAGGUUUUGUCAUACACGUUUUUUUUAAUUGAGGCACAUCUAAGUUUGAGGUACAAGUUUCAAAAAUUUAAAGCGCCUCUGACGUCUUAUGCCACGUGGCCUUGUUGCGCUCGCACAAGACAGAACAUGUUAUAUAACUAGUGUAACGCCCCGUGCCAACCACGAGAUACAUUUUAUUUAUAAUUUUUUAACAAGGUUUACACAUAAAUAAGUUUUUUUAGAUAUUAUUUGACUUUUUUAGUUUGAUUUCAUUCAGAAUUUCAAUAUUAUGUAGUACUAUCUUCAUAUUUAAAAUUGAGACAGAGUUGGCAGGGACAUGUCAACUUUGCUUAAAAUAGUGAGAAAAAGUACAACUACGAUGUACCUGUAACAACCCGAUUUUUACGAUGUUGCUUAAAAAUAUAUCUAAUUAAUAAGAGGUAUGAUUACCUCUGUUAUAAUCUACCAUUAUGGCUCUGCCUCCUUUUUUCCGAAACGUUCAUCACUUACGAUGUACCUGUAACAGCCCGAUUUUUAGCUAGAUUUAUUUUUAGGGUUAAUAGUGUUUUUCACCCCUGUAAUAUAUGUCAUUUCUGGUUUUCGCCCCUAUAAAAUUUUCGGUUUGAUUUGCACCCUGGUAAAAUUGUUAUUUUUCGGAAAACACCCUUAAUAGGUCAUUCAAAAACCAAAAUUUCUUGAAAAAAAAUUUUGAAAAUGGCCUAUUAGGGGUGUUUUCCGGAAAAUAAAAUUUUUACGAGGGUGAAAAUCAAACCGAAAAUUUUAUAGGGGCGAAAACCAGAAAUGACAUAUAUUACAGGGGUGAAAAACACUAUUAACCCUUUAUUUUAAUUACUUUUAUUAUAUGUUUAUAUGUAUUUGUGUGUGAUUAUUCAUCAUUGAGUGCAUUUUUCAUGGAUUUCCGUGUUAAAAGUGUAUUUUAAUCAUUUUAAACUUAAGGGUAUUUUAAUCAUUUUAAAAUAUUUUAAUCUCUCUAUUGUAGAUGCUCUUAUACCAAUAUUUAAAUCAAUCUAAUGGAGAAAUAAAUCCCCAUAUUAUGUGUGGGGACCGCUUCAUUUAAAAAAGAAGAGAAUUGAAUAACAUAACCACUCAAAGAGUAUCAUUAAGCUCCCGUCCAAUAAUAUUCAUCGGAUAAUGUUUUAAUUUUUUGGGUCAAUGGUGUUUUACCCCCUGUAAAUUUUUUUUUUUUUGGAAUACCCCCUUGUUAUCAUGGUUUUUGGGUGCCAAGCCAUUAAUUGGACUUGAACCUUUUGACCGUUGAUAUCUCUCUUUUUUCUUGGGAAGGGUAAAAGGAGAAAAACCCUUAAAAAGUUCUAGAUUCGGGGGUCGUUUUCGCUACGGGAAGGUGUUAGGCACCCGGAGCGAUUAUGGUAUUCCAUAAGAACCGCUUUCCUAAGUUGAUUUCUACGCUUUAGUUUUAUUGCUAUUUUGUAAAAAAAAGGAGGUGUGAUUAGUUAAGAAUGGGGGUGAGAAGAAGUAGAAUUUUGAUUUUAUUUCGGCUUGGAGGAGUUUUGACUCAUUGCCUACGUACCCUUUUAAGGGAUCAAAACCGAUCGUAGUUCAUUCUCAAAAAUGGUUUUUUGUUUUUGUUGGUUGAUUUUAAGUUUGAAAAGAGAUUUUGAAGAAUAGAGAUGAGAGGCCUCAAGGGCAUAAGAUUUGGAAAGUGUGAGGUGGAAUUAGUCAUUUUGCAAAAAUAAAGUCCAAGGAGGAUUAAGGUUUAUUGAAAAUUUUACUUAAGAAAAAAAAUAAAAGGGAAAUAAGGAGUUUUGACUCCUAUUUUAUUUUCAAAAAGGUUUUCAAGUGAGAUUAUUUGCAUGUUUUGGAAAAAGGUUGAUUUUUUCUAAGUGUUUAAACCUAAGCGCUUAUCGAACCAUACAAUCCUAUGCAUACAUCUAAGGUGAGUGUGUGCGUGCCGGUGCGUCAUAGUGUACAUAGUCCAUAUUACAACAUUGCCUAAAUACAUUCUAUGGCCUCUUUGCCAAGCUACAAACCAAUGGUAAAAUAUUACAUCACCGAAUGAAUUACAAUUUGUAAAAAAAAGAAAACUAAACUAACGGAGACAAUAGUGAAGAUAAUGAAGUGCUAUGAAGUGAUCAACAUGAAAGGAAAUGUUAGUAGAAAAUGGUAAAAAAAGAAUAUGGCAUAAAGCGAUAGAAGAAAGUAUGGCAUAAGACGGUAAAGUGACGAUGAAAAUAAGCCGGAAACAUGUGAUGAAUAAUGCGCAUGAUGCAAGAAUAAAACUCAACACAUCAAAACAGUGACAUAUGCAUAGCAAACAGUAGCAAAAUUCACAUGGAAUAGUAUGCAAAUCAAACAUGACGAACACGAACAUUAUGUACAUGAAGUAACGGGUAGAAAUGCGAGAAAAAUGACUUAAAAUAGUAAAAACCCUUGACAAAACAACACUAAAAUUUUUAUCAACUUUUCCAAGUAAAAUACCACUGAAAAUUAUCAAGAAAAAUAGUAAAAUGACAUAGUAAAUUUCUUGGAAUUUAUUGAUAAAAAUUAACAUGAACAGAGGGUGCAAACAGUAGGCAAGUAUGGUGCAAGUAGCAAAAAAAGCAAAAAACGUGAAAGAAAACUAAGCCCAAACCCAAAGCCCACACUCAAAACUCAGAUUGCACAGGAGCCACACGAUUGAUCUAGGAUUCUGAAACCCUAGAUCAAACGGCCAGGAACAAGGGGGACUGGACCGGAAAUAAACCGGUCCGGUUCACUGGCUAUACAAAGGGGGAAAUCCGGUUUUUUCCUCAUUCUCUUCCUCUCCUUCUCUCUCUUCUCUCAUCCUAGUGAGAGAAGCUCCCACUUCUCUCUUCCCUCUCUCGCCGGAAACCUCAAGGAGGAAGAUGAGUUUCACGUGUUUACCUGUGAUUUUUGACUGGAGAUUUUGAACAAGAUCUUCGGAAAACUUGAUUGUUGGUGCGGUUUGUUGAUUCUCUGGCUUGGAUCCGAAAAUAAAUCGGUUCUUCUUUCUUUCUCUUUGCUGGUCCGAAUCGGUUCUUUCCCUCUUCUUCUCAAACUUUCGGAUCCUUCGCGAUCGUGCUUGGAUUCGUUGCUAUUGGUGACGGAUCCGCACCAGAAUUGUGAAGGAUUCGGUUCGAUGAUGAUGAUUCUCCAAUGAAUCACUGAGAACUGUGAUCUGGAAAAUUUUCUAGGGUUUUUGUUCUUGGUGUUCUUCUAUGAUUUUUCUGUUUUGAUCUGUAACUGAAUGGAGAGAGAAAAGAAAUCUGUUUGUGAUGAAUUUCUGACUUUUUUUUUUUUGACUGUGCAUUGAAUGCGCCUUUUAUAGGCUGCCAUGUGUGCAUUGGGACCAAUAGGAAAUUGACACCUGGACCUGGAGAAGAAAUGGCACGGCUUGGAAAAAAAAAUGAAAUUUGGACCUUUCUGCAAAAAACAAAAAAUUUGAGGACUAAACCGCAAAAUUAAUAAAAUAAUAAAAAAACCUGAAAUGAAAUUAAACUGUUUGGACAAAAAUGCAAUUUUGGGACCUCAAUUGAGGGACCAAAAUGCAAUUAAAAAUAAAAUUGAGUAAAAAACGUAAUUUGACCAAACGUAAAGCGAAACAAAAAAAUAAAAUUGACAAAACGGACUAAAACGAACCAAUGGCCUAAAUGAGGUACUUCACAGUAACCUCCCUAUGCCAAAAUUUUGUGUGAAAUGACCAAAAUGCCCCUAGGGCUAAAAACGACCUAAACAGAUUGAAAUUGACUUGACACUGACUCAGACGCAAGUUUGAAAUGAAUUUUAACAAGGUUUACUGAUGAAAUAUUUAAAAAUAAUCUGAAAAGACUCAGAGACAGUCACAAGGAUGAAAAUGGGUCCCACUGCAGGAAAUGACCAAAAUACCCUUCUGUAUGACUUUUUGCAAAUUUUGAAAUAAACUGUGGUAAAAGCAAUGUAAUGAUCCGGAGACACUUUUGAAUGACUUAUAAGACAAGUAAAGAUAUUUCAAAAGGUUUUAUGCAAGAAAAACAUAGCUAAAAUUGUGAUUGGAAAUACUGCGAGGCAGAGACAAUUUGAACUGUGCAGUUGAAAUUUGAUAAUUGAUAAAUUUUGAAAUGAAAUUGGGCCCAGUAUUUUUAGGUCCAAAAACAGGGUAUAACAGCUGCCCCUAUUUAAGUUUCUUUGUCUGGAGAGUCAAGAGACGGAGUCUUUGGCUUGACAGGACGAAGAUACUUAAAUAUUAGCAUUUGCACUGUGUUUGGACGUAAAAAAUACGCCUACCCAUUUUCAAAUAAUAUGCAUGCCAUGCAUCAUUUGGAUUAUGAAUGCAAGACCUCAUGGGGAUUGGAAUUAACAAAAUAUGUCGCAUCCAUUGCGGGAUUGGUAGACAUUGACAAAGAUAGUGAAUAGCAGAGUAACGGGAAACUAGAAACAAGUUGGACAGGUAUAAGUUGUUCUUGGAUUCAAACUAGCCACUUGACCGGGGAUGAGACAAACAGACAACUGCGAGUUGUUCUUAUGGAUUCGAACUGGUCACUCCACAGGGGAUAGAGGUUACUGGACAAACAUGAGUUGUUCUUAUGGAUUCGAACUGGUAACUCACUUGGGGAUAUUGGAAAGUGCGAGUUGUUCUUAUGGAUUCGAACUGAUGACUCGACUGGGAAAAAGAGAAAAUUGGCAAGUACGAGUUGUUCUUAAGGAUUCGAACUGGUCACUCGACUGAAAGCAAGGCAAACAGACAGGUGCGAGCUUGUUCUUGGAUGCGAACUGGUUACUCCACCGGAGACAAAUACAAAAUAGACAGGCGCAAGCUGCCCUUGGAUCGAGCUAGCCACUUGACCGAACAGAAACAGAUAGACGGGUACAAGCUGUUCUUGGACUUGAACUAGCCACUCGACCGAUAACAUAAGCAAAUUGAUAGGUACAAGCUGUUCUCGGACUUGAACUAGCCACUUGACCAAACAGAAACAUAUUGACAGGUACAAGCUGCUCUUGGAUUGAGCUGGGCACUCGACCGAUAACAUAAGCAAAUUGAUAGGUACAAGCUGUUCUUGGACCUGAACUAGCCACUUGACCAAACAGAAACAUAUUCACUGGAGGUUGGUUUGGUUGACAAAAUAUAGAUUGAGAUUGAUUUGACAUCGAUUUGAAUUGAAAGGUAGAAAUUGACUGAUAACAUUGGCUCACAAGGUUUUGACGGAGAACCUGACAUGAGUGUUGAAUUGAGACUGAUGUUGUCAUUGGAAAUGCAAUAUGCAUGGAUGAUAUAACAGUUUCAUUAAAUGCAUGGGCACGUAAUAUGCAUGAUUAUGCAUGUAUGAAUGCUUGUAAUGCAUGACUAUUGGCAGUUUGUAGGCACGACUUCACGGGGAAGACAAGACAUUAGAGUAUUGGGCACGUAGUGGCUCGUGCUAUAUUACACAUUCUUGGAAAUCCUCUUUGGAGAUGACGUCGUUGGGAGACGUAUCGGAACCAUGGCUGAGGGCAGGUAGCUAAACAACUUGCUUGGGGAUAGAAUCUUGAGAGACUCCACCGGGGAAAACGCCGUUGUGCUGGGCAUGUCAGCGCUGGGUAUGUCGUAGAUAUCGCAUCUGUGGUCAAUGCUUUUUGCAUGUUAUAUUCUCAAUUUUCAUUCAUCAUUUUUGCAUCCCAUUUUUGCUUGGAUCGCCCUUUCGGGUUUUCGACCCACCGGGGAAAUAGAUUCUUUUCAAUGCCCCAUUUUUGCCUGAACUGCCCUUUCGGGUUGUCAAUCCAGCGGGGUGCUCAUUUUUGCCUAAGCCGCCCUUCCGGGUUUUCGACUUAGCGAGCCUAUCUAUUUUCAUGCAUUUUCAUUCUGUUUUUUCAUUCCUGCCAUUGACCACAGAUUAUCUUGGAGGAGAACCUGCUUGUAACAUAUAUUGAAAUAGACAUCGACAUACUCUCGCUUAUGCAUGUUUCGUUUGAAUGUACCCUGUUGCUCAGGUUUGCUUUUCAAAAUAGACAAAAAAAUUUCAAUUUUCAAAAAUGUUUGUUUCAAGCAUUGCCAUUAUCAAAAUAGAAAGAAAAUGUUUUGUAUAUAGCUUUGAAAGUAGAAGAAAAAUAGAAUUUCAAACAAAAGCACAAGCUCAAAUUGAUGUAUAAGAGUGGUGGUCAACCGAAGGCGUGACUCCACGGAUUCACAAAGCUUGGAAAAUGGUAAUUUUUAUUGGUUGGUGGUACAUUGAACACAGCAAUCAUUACAUUUCCCAAAAACUUUGAAUUCACAAGUACAGAAGCUUCAGAUGAAGAUGGUCAUUAACAGCUGCAGAUGCCCCAAGGGGGACGGUGGUUAGCCAGAUAUAGUUACUUGCCUUUUGUUUCAAUCUCAUUUUUGCAUGAACCGCCCUUCCGGGUUUUCGAUUCAUCGAGACGCUCAUUCUUGCCUGAGUUGCGUGCAAUCUCAGCGAGCUUUUCAUAUUUGUUUCUUUUGUCCCUUAUUUUUGCCUGGACCGCCCUUUCGGGUUUUCGAUCCACCGGGAGGCGCAUUUUUGCCUAGGCCGCCCUUUCGGGUUUUCGACCUACCACGCUGUUCUUUUCAUAUUUCUAGGCAAAGUAUUUCUUGACUAUAUCGGCAUUCACUGGAUUUGGAAGUUCUACACCAUCCAUGUGUGUAAGGAUUAAAGCACCACCGGAGAAGGCCUUCUUGACAACAUAAGGACCUUCAUAGUUAGGCGUCCACUUGACCCUUGGGUCGGGUUGCUGGCUUACCCUCCUUUUCAAUACAAGUUCCCCUACUUUGAACUAUCGAGGAUGAACUUUCUUGUCAAAAGCAGUCUUCAUUCUUGCUUGAUAUGACUGUCCACGAGCCAUGGCAUCCAUACGUUUUUCCUCAAUCAAAUUCAACUGAUCAUACCGGCUUUGGCACCAUUCAGCCUCAGAUAACUUUGCUUCCAUGAUCACACGGAGAGACGGGAUCUCCACUUCCAAAGGAAGAACUGCUUCCAUACCAUAUACAAGAGAGAAAGGGGUUGCCCCGGUUGAACUGCGCACUGUAGUACGGUAGCCAUGCAGAGCAUAGGGUAACAUCUCAUGCCAGUCCUUGUAAGUGGUUACCAUCUUCUGGACAAUUCUCUUGAUAUUCUUGUUGGCGGCCUCAACUGCACCAUUCAUCUGAGGUCUAUAGGGAGAAGAGUUAUGAUGCUCAAUCUUGAAUUCUUCACAAAGAGCUUGCACCACAUUGUUGUUCAAGUUGGUACCAUUGUCAGUAAUGAUCUUGCUGGGAACACCAUAUCGACAGAUGAUGUUGUUCUUGAUGAACUUAGCUACCACUUGCUUGGUCACAUUGGUAUAAGAUGCUGCUUCAACCCACUUGGUGAAGUAGUCAAUUGCCACUAAGAUGAAACGAUGACCAUUUGAAGCCUUCAGUUCAAUUCUUCCAAUCAUGUCGAUGCCCCACAUUGAGAACGGCCAUGGGGAUGAAAUAACAUUGAGAGCGUGUGGAGGCACAUGAAUCUUAUCAGCAUAGAUUUGACAUUUGUGGCACUUUCUGGCGUACUGAUAGCAAUCAUGCUCCAUGCCCAUCCAGUAGUAACCUGCUCGUAACAACUUCCUUGACAUAGUAUGCCCUGUAGCAUGGGUCCCGAAGGUACCGUCAUGUACAUCAUGCAUUAACUGCUCUGCUUCAUGUUCAUCAACACAUCUUAACAAUACCAUGUCAUAGUUUCUCUUGUACAGAAUAUCCCCAUCUAACCGGAACCUACUGGCCAAUCUUCUCAGGGUCUUCUUAUCUUGUUUGGAAGCACCCGGCGGAUACUCACGGCUCAGCAAGAACUGUUUGAUGCCAUAAUACCAGGGUCUAUAGUCAACCACAUUUUCACCAGCCUGAUCGAUCACAUCCCCAAUAGCAAACACAUGCGAAGGUCUUUCAAGGCGUUGCAUUUUGAUUACUGGCACAUCAUUCCAAUGGUUUACUCGAAACAUGGAGGAUAGAGUAGCAAGAGCAUCAGCCAUUUGGUUCUCAUCACGAGGAAUAUGGUGUAGCUCAACCUUUGUAAAAUAUGUCAGCAAACGUCUCGCAUAAUCACGAUAAGGAAUCAACUUAGCAUGGUGGGUCUCCCAUUCACCCUUUAUCUGAUUGAUGACGAGCGCAGAAUCCCCAUAGAUGUCGAGGUGUUUGAUUCUCAUGUCAAUUGCUUCCUCGAUCCCAAAGAUACAGGCUUCAUACUCAGCCAUAUUGUUGGUACAUUCGAACAAAAUUCGGGCUGUAAAAGGAAUGUGAUGCCCCUGUGGGGAUACAAUGACUGCCCCAAUUCCUUUACCAUAAGCAUUGACAGCACCAUCAAAGACUAAACCCCACUUGCUAUUGGGAUCUGGACCUUCAUCAAUCAACGGUUCUUCACAGUCCUUUGAUUUCAAAUACAUGAUCUCUUCAUCGGGGAAAUCGAACUCAAUUGGUUGAUAAUCAUCGAGAGGUUGGUAAGCAAGAUGAUCGGCAAGAAUGCUACCUUUGAUUGCCUUUUGAGUUUUGAACACAAUAUCAUAUUCAGACAGAAGCAUCUGCCAGCGUGCAAUCUUCCCAGUAACAGCAGCUUUCUCAAAGAUAUACUUUAUCGGAUCCAUUCUGGAUAUCAACCAAGUUGUAUGAUUCACCAAAUAAUGACGCAGGCGUUUAGCGGCCCAGGCCAAAGCACAACAAGUCUUCUCAAGCAUUGUAUACCGAGUUUCACAGUCGGUGAACUUCUUGCUUAGAUAGUAGAUAGCGUGCUCUUUCUUUCCAGUUUCAUCUUGUUGACCAAGUACGCAUCCCACAGAUUCAUCAAACACUGACAAAUACAAAAUCAAAGGCCUUCCUUCCACGGGAGGGACAAGGAUAGGGGGCUCCAGCAGGUAAUUCUUGAUGCUAUCAAAAGCUUCUUGGCAUUCAUCGUUCCAUACAAUAGGCUGAUUCUUGCUCAAGCAGUCGAGUGAUCUCAUAUGGUAUAUCAUCAUCCUCUUCAUCUUCGGCUUCAUACACAGGGAAUUCAAAAUUUGGAGGAACCGUAGGAUUACUGUGUUCAACGGGUUUAUUAUGGUUCAAACUGCAUAGAAUGGUUGAAUGAUUUUAGAAAAUGGUUUUUUUUUUUUUUUCUUUUAUGCAGUUCUUUGAAAUUGAUAAGAAAAAUAAAGAUGUUUUGGUUUUUUCUGGUAUUACCAUUAUUUCCAAGAAAAAAAGAAAAAAAAUCACUAAAAAAUAAAAGUCGUGAAAGAAACGACGAUUUUUGUUAAUAACGGCGAUGCCGAAACAAACACGCCCUUCCAGAAAUAUCACUUUCGCUUCGGGUAGAGCGAGAGGAUUGUUAUUUUGAAAAACAAAACACUUAAGCAACAAGACACAUUAUUCGGAAACAUGCAUGAUUGAAUGAAUGUUGAUGGCAUCACAAUUUCUCGCAAUGCCUCCUGGUAUAACAAACAUAGGCCUAGGACUACAUCCAGUCGCCUCUUCAGUAAUUGCAUUGAUAAACUCAGCACUGUAAAAGAUUCCUGUGGAGACUCCUGAAGUUGGGGAAUAUCCGAUACCCUCUUUAUGCUUAUUCUCAAGGAGUUGUAUUAACUUGCCCCAGCCAGCAGCUUGUCCUUCUUGGAUGUCAUUGACAGUCAGAUAAUUGUCGUUCAUCAGUCUCUGGAUGUCAUUCUGAACAACGUAGCAACCCCGAGGAUUAUGGAAGCAUUCUGGGCAACUGGCAUGAUCAUGGUCAAACAGAGAGGCUUGGCAUAACUCGAUGUGUAGUGGCACCAGAGGAGUUGCAACGUUACAAACGUCCGAUCUGGGAGCUUCCUCAUAUACCUCAAUCAUGUUUACAGCAGCGUGAUUCGGAAGAGGAUUGUCGACGACAUGAGGGACGUUAUUCUCAAAGGUCAAUUUUCCUUGGUCUAUGAGUUUUUUUACAAUGUACCUCAACGCGUAGCAUCCUUCGACAUCAUGACCCAUAGCACCUUGAUGGAAAUCACACUUGAGGUCCGAACGGAACUUGGGAGGCGAUGGAUCAGGUGGAGGCUUGCCCUGUCUGGUUGUGCAGUGCCCUUUGAGAAGUAGAGUCGGGAGUAAUUCAGCAUAUAACAUUGGUAUCAGAGGAAAGGUAGGUCUAGCCUGUUGCUGCUGUCGUUGUUGAGCUGGAGGCUGUUGUUGCAUUCGCUGGACGACGGCAUUAACGGGUACCUGAGGUUGACCCGAUGGCAAAGGAUACUGAUGAUAGAAUGGUGGAAAGAAGGGAUGCUGAGAGUAUUGCGCAUACGUGUACGACGGAGGUAGCUGAGCAGCAUUGAUGUCCAUGACCUGGAACGUGAUCAGAAAGGUUUCGGGACAGAUAGUUAUUGGCAGAUCUAUCUCCCCAAGAAUGUUCUUACGGGAUCCGUCGAAGGCUUUAACCAGAAAGGUGCUCAUUCCCAAGGGAGUUCCCCGAUAGCUCAAUCGAUCCGGAGUGGCCGUUGUCUGAGGCAAGCUGGUAUUGACAGAGACAGGGUUCGUCCCAGGAAUCUGGCCAUUAUUGACAGUACCAGAAACGCCAGCUGCAGUACUAGGAGUGAAAAACGGUGGAAGCCCAUACGGAAACCCAGCUGGCAUAGCAAAGCGAGCGUCUGCAGAUGCGAUUGGGAGCACGCUUGUAGUCACCGGUACAGCUGUGACUAUAGGGAUAGCCGUAGCUGAUUGUUCUUGAGCGGCUAGCAGAGCAGUCAUGACAUCAUUAGCUUUAGCCAAUUCCUCCCUUAGAGUGGCUAACUCGGUACGGAGCUGAGCGUUCUCUUCUUCCAUAGCCUUUUUCCUUCUUCUGUAUUCUCUGGUUCGAUCGAUUCUAUCGGGUUCGUAGACCUUCUGAGCACGAGCCACUUUUCAAACUGUGGCAGAGGAACCAGGAGAUAGUGAGCACUUGGAAGCCUUUGUGACCGAUGCAUGAUGCAUAUGAUGCAUGAUAUGCAAAUGCAAAUGCAAAAGACUUAUUUUUCAUCGAAGGAUUUUUAAACAAAUUAGAAACCUUGCAAAUAAUCAAAACUACAUAGCAUUUUCAAAAGGAAGACUUUGAAAUUUCAAUGAGGUAAACAACUGAAGCCCUCAAGCAUAGGAAGUAGUCGGAAGAUCAUCGGACUCGGAAUCUGAAUCACAGUAUCUGUCAAAGAAGUCUCGUCGUCCUCUGGCUCUCUUGGAAUCCCUCAUAAGCAGCUCGUCUUUCUCUUCCAAUUCCCUCCGGGCUUUAGCUAGCUCCUUCUUCAACAUCAGAUUCUCAUGAGUCUUCUGCUCAUCUCUACCAUCCAAAGUCAUGAUUAGAUUCUCAGCUUGAUCGUACCGAGCUUUCCAUACUUGCUUCUCACGACUCUCCAUAGCUAGAUGCUCCUGAUACAUAUCCUGAGUUGCGGGGAGCAAAGGUAGAGGCAUAGAUGGGGUAGAUGAAGACACAUAUCUCAUAGCUGGAUAAGGCAUACCAAUCUCCUCAGCUCGAUCUAUCACCCACUGAGUAUAGGCCUCAUGAGCGACACCGGACCUCACACCUAGAUGCUUCACACUCUUCCUUCGAACCUUGGACCAAGCAUCCAUGAAAGCUUUCCUUUGUCCGGUAGGAGCAUUCGUGUAGAAGAAGAACUCUGGAGAUGUAGCAAGAUUGAUGGGCUUCGACUUCAUGGGGAAACCAAACUGUCUCAUAGCAAGCUCGGGGUUGUAGUUGAUUCCCCCACGGGUACCAAGAAGAGGUACAUUGAGAAAAUCUCCACAACCCAUAAUGAUUUCCUUCACCUGAGCGGCAGGAGUGAGCCAGACGACCUCAUUAGGAGUGAGGGCCAUAAUCCGCUGCGAGUAGGACCAAUUCUCCGAGUUGUCAUGGAAGGAACUCGGAAGGUGCGAAAUAAACCACCUAUACAAAAGAGAUGUGCAGCAAAGAAUAUAUCCACGGCCCUUGAGAGUCCUGUCAUGAAUGGCGUGGUAAGUAUCUGCUAGCAAAGUAGGAACCGGGUUCUUGGAAUGAAAGAUCUCGAUAGCAUUCAUGUCCACGAAGUUGUCGAGGUUCGGAAAGAGGAUGAGCCCGUAGAUAAGCAAAGCAAGAAUAGCCUCGAGUGUAUCCUGACGAGUAGUACCGAGAUUAGCCUGAUCAAGAAGAUACUUCGAAGUGAAACCCCGGAUGUGAGACUUGGUAAUAAGAUGAUUGGAGACGUCGGAAGUCUUGAGGUAGAGAUCCUUAGCAAUAACCAGAGGAGUAAGAGAAGUCCCGGGACCGGUGAAAGGCGUCUUCUCGGCUAUAGGUAAACCCACUAGAUUGGAGUAAGCCUCGAGAGUAGGAACCAACUGGAAGUCCGGGAAAGUGAAGCAGCGGAAGCUCGGAUCAUAAAACUGUACUAGAGUGUGCACUAGCUUCUCGUCCACAUCGGUUCGGAGCAAAGUAAGCAAUCCCCCAUACCGAAGUCGGAAACCUGUUUGACUCCUGACCUUGAGUGCCAACUCUCUCAAACUAACCAAAUCCACUUCCUUGAACUUGUAGCACUUAGUCUUCUUCAUACCUGUGAUUAUUUACAAAAAUUUCCAUUUGUUUAAACCCUUCGAUGAAUGCAUGAAAAAUGUUUAUGCAUGAAUGUAUGUAUGCAUGGUUGUGUUGUUUAGUUACAAUGUGGGUUGAGAUUCAAAGUAACAGGGCCACGGAUGGACACGGCGUCCGGUGAACUAAGGCUUUGGAUAAUAGUAACCAAGGUUCUAACACAGUUCCCAAACUGCAACCUCUCUCACAUAUAUCAUGGUAGUACAGGACAACACCCGUUCCAUGAUUAUUUGUGAGAAGGUCUAGUUUGAGUGUAGUAUCGCGUGACGACUAAAGUUUGAGACAACACUCAAUUUAGCCACCGCACUACGUCAUAAAAAAGGCUAGGAUGGGUUUGGUAACUACGGUUCAUAGCUUCGUCGAACAAUUGAAAGUGAAGUGUCUAAGCAUGACAACACACGCCGACAAUAUCACCUUCAAAAUGCCUCAGCUAUGUGAGAUUGAUCGCAUAAUCCAAUACACGAGGCAACCCCCGGAUCGAAUUGUCGAUUAUAUCUCUACCUAAACAUAAGUUCACUCAGCCCGGGUUAGGACUUUUGAUAUUCUCACCCCACACGUUAAAUGAAAGUAAACAAGUAUUCACACAUGUAAGCGAUAAAACAAAGCGUAAAUAUAAACUAAGGAAAACUAGGCGCGACCCGCUAAAAAAAAAAGUCCCCAGUGAAGUCGCCAUUUCUGUUAUCAUGGUUUUUGGGUGCCAAGCCAUUAAUUGGACUUGAACCUUUUGACCGUUGAUAUCUCUCUUUUUUCUUGGGAAGGGUAAAAGGAGAAAAACCCUUAAAAAGUUCUAGAUUCGGGGGUCGUUUUCGCUACGGGAAGGUGUUAGGCACCCGGAGCGAUUAUGGUAUUCCAUAAGAACCGCUUUCCUAAGUUGAUUUCUACGCUUUAGUUUUAUUGCUAUUUUGUAAAAAAAAGGAGGUGUGAUUAGUUAAGAAUGGGGGUGAGAAGAAGUAGAAUUUUGAUUUUAUUUCGGCUUGGAGGAGUUUUGACUCAUUGCCUACGUACCCUUUUAAGGGAUCAAAACCGAUCGUAGUUCAUUCUCAAAAAUGGUUUUUUGUUUUUGUUGGUUGAUUUUAAGUUUGAAAAGAGAUUUUGAAGAAUAGAGAUGAGAGGCCUCAAGGGCAUAAGAUUUGGAAAGUGUGAGGUGGAAUUAGUCAUUUUGCAAAAAUAAAGUCCAAGGAGGAUUAAGGUUUAUUGAAAAUUUUACUUAAGAAAAAAAAUAAAAGGGAAAUAAGGAGUUUUGACUCCUAUUUUAUUUUCAAAAAGGUUUUCAAGUGAGAUUAUUUGCAUGUUUUGGAAAAAGGUUGAUUUUUUCUAAGUGUUUAAACCUAAGCGCUUAUCGAACCAUACAAUCCUAUGCAUACAUCUAAGGUGAGUGUGUGCGUGCCGGUGCGUCAUAGUGUCCAUAGUCCAUAUUACAACAUUGCCUAAAUACAUUCUAUGGCCUCUUUGCCAAGCUACAAACCAAUGGUAAAAUAUUACAUCACCGAAUGAAUUACAAUUUGUAAAAAAAAGAAAACUAAACUAACGGAGACAAUAGUGAAGAUAAUGAAGUGCUAUGAAGUGAUCAACAUGAAAGGAAAUGUUAGUAGAAAAUGGUAAAAAAAGAAUAUGGCAUAAAGCGAUAGAAGAAAGUAUGGCAUAAGACGGUAAAGUGACGAUGAAAAUAAGCCGGAAACAUGUGAUGAAUAAUGCGCAUGAUGCAAGAAUAAAACUCAACACAUCAAAAAAGUGACAUAUGCAUAGCAAACAGUAGCAAAAUUCACAUGGAAUAGUAUGCAAAUCAAACAUGACGAACACGAACAUUAUGUACAUGAAGUAACGGGUAGAAAUGCGAGAAAAAUGACUUAAAAUAGUAAAAGCCCUUGACAAAACAACACUAAAAUUUUUAUCAACUUUUCCAAGUAAAAUACCACUGAAAAUUAUCAAGAAAAAUAGUAAAAUGACAUAGUAAAUUUCUUGGAAUUUAUUGAUAAAAAUUAACAUGAACAGAGGGUGCAAACAGUAGGCAAGUAUGGUGCAAGUAGCAAAAAAAGCAAAAAACGUGAAAGAAAACUAAGCCCAAACCCAAAGCCCACACUCAAAACUCAGAUUGCACAGGAGCCACACGAUUGAUCUAGGAUUCUGAAACCCUAGAUCAAACGGCCAGGAACAAGGGGGACUGGACCGGAAAUAAACCGGUCCGGUUCACUGGCUAUACAAAGGGGGAAAUCCGGUUUUUUCCUCAUUCUCUUCCUCUCCUUCUCUCUCUUCUCUCAUCCUAGUGAGAGAAGCUCCCACUUCUCUCUUCCCUCUCUCGCCGGAAACCUCAAGGAGGAAGAUGAGUUUCACGUGUUUACCUGUGAUUUUUGACUGGAGAUUUUGAACAAGAUCUUCGGAAAACUUGAUUGUUGGUGCGGUUUGUUGAUUCUCUGGCUUGGAUCCGAAAAUAAAUCGGUUCUUCUUUCUUUCUCUUUGCUGGUCCGAAUCGGUUCUUUCCCUCUUCUUCUCAAACUUUCGGAUCCUUCGCGAUCGUGCUUGGAUUCGUUGCUAUUGGUGACGGAUCCGCACUAGAAUUGUGAAGGAUUCGGUUCGAUGAUGAUGAUUCUCCAAUGAAUCACUGAGAACUGUGAUCUGGAAAAUUUUCUAGGGUUUUUGUUCUUGGUGUUCUUCUAUGAUUUUUCUGUUUUGAUCUGUAACUGAAUGGAGAGAGAAAAGAAAUCUGUUUGUGAUGAAUUUCUGACUUUUUUUUUUUUGACUGUGCAUUGAAUGCGCCUUUUAUAGGCUGCCAUGUGUGCAUUGGGACCAAUAGGAAAUUGACACCUGGACCUGGAGAAGAAAUGGCACGGCUUGGAAAAAAAAAUGAAAUUUGGACCUUUCUGCAAAAAACAAAAAAUUUGAGGACUAAACCGCAAAAUUAAUAAAAUAAUAAAAAAACCUGAAAUGAAAUUAAACUGUUUGGACAAAAAUGCAAUUUUGGGACCUCAAUUGAGGGACCAAAAUGCAAUUAAAAAUAAAAUUGAGUAAAAAACGUAAUUUGACCAAACGUAAAGCGAAACAAAAAAAUAAAAUUGACAAAACGGACUAAAACGAACCAAUGGCCUAAAUGAGGUACUUCAAAGUAACCUCCCUAUGCCAAAAUUUUAUGUGAAAUGACCAAAAUGCCCCUAGGGCUAAAAACGACCUAAACAGAUUGAAAUUGACUUGACACUGACUCAGACGCAAGUUUGAAAUGAAUUUUAACAAGGUUUACUGAUGAAAUAUUUAAAAAUAAUCUGAAAAGACUCAGAGACAGUCACAAGGAUGAAAAUGGGUCCCACUGCAGGAAAUGACCAAAAUACCCUUCUGUAUGACUUUUUGCAAAUUUUGAAAUAAACUGUGGUAAAAGCAAUGUAAUGAUCCGGAGACACUUUUGAAUGACUUAUAAGACAAGUAAAGAUAUUUCAAAAGGUUUUAUGCAAGAAAAACAUAGCUAAAAUUGUGAUUGGAAAUACUGCGAGGCAGAGACAAUUUGAACUGUGCAGUUGAAAUUUGAUAAUUGAUAAAUUUUGAAAUGAAAUUGGGCCCAGUAUUUUUAGGUCCAAAAACAGGGUAUAACACCCCUUAUAGGUCAUAAAAAAACGAAAAAAUUCUGCAAAAAUAAAUAAAUAAAGUCGCUUUUUUUUAUGACCUAUUAGGGGUGUAUUCCAAAAAAAUAAUAUUUUACAGGGGGUAAAUAAAAAAAAAAAAUUUACAGGGGUAAAUCACCAUUAACCCUAAUUUUUUUAUGACUUUAUCAGAGAAUGUUAAAGUGUGCCCAAGACACAACAAAUAAAUUUGAAUAAGGGGUCACUUUGGUCUUUACUUUGCACGUUGUUGUCACGAUGGUCUGUAACAUAUUUGAAGACUAGUAUUUUGUAUUUUAUUUUGAGUUAGCGACUAUUUGACAAUGAAGUAUAAAGUUAUAGACCAAAAUGACCAUUUAUUCAAUAAAUUUUUAUAAAAAGUAUUGUAUAAUUAUUAUUUGAUCAAAAUAACAAUUUUGUAUUUUUAAAACAAAGUUUUUAUUUUUGAAUUCUUUAAUCAAUGCUCCGAGCAUUUGUUGCCUACCAAAUUGUUGGCAAUACUCAUCUCUUAUUCUUAAACAAAGCACUGUCGCCCUAAUUAUACCUAAUAUCUUCUUAAAUAUUAAAGUUAACAAGUAAGCCCUAAUUUUAACCUAAACCCUAUUGCAUAAUUUUACUGUUUUAACCCUAAUGUUCACACCUAAUCUCCUAUUUUCAUGAACAAUCUUCUUAUAUAUUAAAGUUAACAUGUAAGCCCUAAUUUUAACCUAAACCCUAUUGCAUAAUUUUACUGUUUUAACCCUAAUGUUCACACCUAAUCUCCUAUUAAAUAUUAAAGUUAACAUAUAAGCCCUAAUUUUAACCUAAACCCUAUUGCAUAAUUUUACUGUUUUAACCCUAAUGUUCACACCUAAUCUCCUAUUUUCAUGAACAAUCUUCUUAUAUAUUAAAGUUAACAUGUAAGCCCUAAUUUUAACCUAAACCCUAUUGCAUAAUUUUACUGUUUUAACCCUAAUGUUCACACCUAAUCUCCUAUUUUCAUGAACAAUCCUAAUGCUCUCUCCUAAUCUUCUUAUAUAUUAAAGUUAACAAGUAAGCCCUAAUUUUAACCUAAACCCUAUUGCAUAAUUUUACUGUUUUAACCCUAAUGUUCACACCUAAUCUCCUAUUUUCAUGAACAAUCUUCUUAAAUAUUAAAGUUAACAUGUAAGCCCUAAUUUUAACCUAAACCCUAUUGCAUAAUUUUACUGUUUUAACCCUAAUGUUCACACCUAAUCUCCUAUUUUCAUGAACAAUCUUCUUAUAUAUUAAAGUUAACAUGUAAGCCCUAAUUUUAACCUAAACCCUAUUGCAUAAUUUUACUGUUUUAACCCUAAUGUUCACACCUAAUCUCCUAUUUUCAUGAACAAUCCUAAUGCUCUCUCCUAAUCUUCUUAUAUAUUAAAGUUAACAAGUAACCCUAAUUUUAACCUAAACCCUAUUGCAUAAUUUUACUGUUUUAACCCUAAUGUUCACACCUAAUCUCCUAUUUUCAUGAACAAUCCUAUUGCUCGCACCUAAUCUUCUUAUAUAUUAAAGGUAACCCGUAAGCCCUAAUUUUAACCUAAAUCCUAUUGCAUAAUUUUACCGUUUUAACCCUAAUGCUCACACCUAAUCUUCUAUUUUCAUGAACAACGCUAAUGCCCACACCUAAUCUCCUAUUUUCAUGAACAAAGCAAAUCGGCAUCGCUUUAUUUCCCCUAUUUCUUCAAAACAAAUCGCCCUAUUUCUUCAACAAAACAAAUCGCCCUAUUGGAAUAAAAGGGUUUUGAAAGAUUAUAGCAACAUUUUUUUUGUUAAUAUUACACUUUUCAUCCAAAUUAAAACCGAACUCUCUUUGUUAAAUAUUUACCACAAAAUGCACCUGAAUUUUGCAAUCUAUAUAAACAGGUGGAAGAAACAUUUCAACAAACAGUUAAAGGGUAUCAUUUACGGUAAAUGCCAAAUAUUCGAUAAAAGGAAAAUUAUUUAAAUAAAACAUUUUACAUGUUGAGGUUAAGAAUGAACUAUUUUUAGGUACAUAAUAUAACAUUAACAUAUAAUUCUUACAAAAGAAUGAAGUAACAUUUUUUCAAAAAAAAAAAAGAAAAAUAAGAAGUAACAUACCAAUAAUAUAAUAUUGACAUAUAAUUUUAACAAAAGAAUGAAGUAACACAUCUUCUUAUAUAUUAAAGUUAACACUUAAGCAUAUUUUAACCCUAAUUUUAACCUAAACCUAUGGCAUAAAUUUACUAUUUUAACCCUGAUGCUAAAUUCAUUUGUUUAACCUUAUUGAAUUUUGCCCCUUCUCAAUUUCUCGAGACAUCUUCUUAUAUAUUAAAGUUAACACAGAAGCAUAUUUUAGCCCUAAUUUUAACCUAAACCUAUGGCAUAAAUUUACUAUUUUAACCCUGAUGCUAAAUUCCUUUGUUUAACCUUAUUGAAUUUUCCCCCUUCUCAAUUUUUCGAUACAUCUUCUUAUAUAUUAAAGUUAACACUUAAGCAUAUUUUAGCCCUAAUUUUAACCUAAACCUAUGGCAUAAAUUUACUAUUUUAACCCUGAUGCUAAAUUAUUUUGUUUAACCUUAUUGAAUUUUCCCCCUUCUCAAUUUCACGAUACAUCUUCUUAUAUAUUAAAGUUAACGUAGAAGCAUAUUUUAGCCCUAAUUUUAACCUAAAUCUAUUGCAUAAAUUUACUAUUUUAACCCUGAUGCUAAAUUCCUUUGUUUAACCUUAUUGAAUUUCCCCCUUCUCAAUUUCUCGAUACAUCUUCUUAUAUAUUAAAGUUAACACAGAAGCAUAUUUUAGCCCUAAUUUUAACCUAAACCUAUUGCAUAAAUUUACUAUUUUAACCCUGAUGCUAAAUUCCUUUGUUUAACCUUAUUGAAUUUUCCCCCUUCUCAAUUUCUCGAUACAUCUUUUUAUAUAUUAAAGUUAACUAAACAUAUUUUGAAUCAAUUAUAGAAAUUUCUUUCAACCUAAUUUUUGUCUUUUGGCAAAAUCUCUUCUGUUAUUAAAUUAUAGAUUGCUGCUCAAUGUCACUAAAAAUAUUUUGAAUCAAUUAUACAAUUUCCUUCUAUAGUUGUAUUUAAAAUUAUUAAAGUUAACUAAACAUAUUUUGAAUCAAUUAUAGAAAUUUCUUUCAACCUAAUUUUUGUCUUUUGGCAAAAUCUCUUCUGUUAUUAAAUUAUAGAUUGCUGCUCAAUGUCACUAAAAAUAUUUUGAAUCAAUUAUACAAUUUCCUUCUAUAGUUGUAUUUAAAAUUAUGACAUUAAAAUUAUAAGUUGGGACUGUAUUAUAAAAUGUUGCUUUUGUCUACUACACUUACAAUGUAUAUGACCCGUGCGGCAGCACGGGUGGACGAUCUAGUUUUAACCUAAAAUUGUAGCCAUUUUUUCCUCCUUCAAAACCUAACCAUAUUUCUUAACUCCCCUCCUCCAAACCCUAACUAUGAUCUCCUAAUUUCCCUCCUCCUAAAACCUAUCUAAUUGAUUUCCAUAUUUUAUGUAGCCAUAUUUUUUUCCUCACUUCCUCAACUGAUUUACCCUAAUAUAUUAUUAUUCUCAUUAAUCUCAUAAUAAAUUGUACUUAUUUUCUGGUUUAACCCUUUAUGAGCUUCCUACUCUUUCUCCUUGAUCUUAAACAACUUAUGCGUUUAACACUUAUCAAAACCGAAAUAUCAUAAUCCUACACCUUAAUUUAAUCAUUUCUCCUAAAUCGAAAUCUCUUUUCAAAACAAAUACCUUUCUCUUAAACCGAAAUUUCUUAUUCAACAUGGCUUCCAGAAACAUUGAGACUUUGCUGUCAUACCACUGCCUCACUGGUAAUCAUUCCUUUUGCACCUAUUCCACACUGGUUUAAACUAUAAAUCAUGCUUUCGAAUUAACAGUCAUUAGAACUUCUGGUUUAUACUAUUAGUUAUUUGUCACUUUUAAUGAAACUGUGUGUAUGUAUUUAUAGUCAUUUUUGGAUAUAUUCAUCGAUAAUAUAAUUGUGCACUCCUUAUAAUUUGCCUUGGUGCUAUUCCUUUGGUUAAAGUAUUUUGUCAUAUAGAAUCUAGAAACACUAGAGGCAUCUUUGAACAAAAUCAACCAAAACACAUUUUUUCUUGUUGUAUUAAUAUAUAUUCAUCUGAAAGAAUUUCCAGAAAUGUAUUUUAUGUUUUCUAACGUGACUAAUAUGCUCUUAUAUUAAUAUAUAUGUACACUUUAAUUUACAAAGCAUCAUCAAGUCUUUCGUAGUAGCCCUCAUGGUAAAAUUCACAUACUUGAAUUACAGAAAUAUUUCUUUGUCAAUUUCAAAUUUCGUUUGUCACAGUCAUGAUUAUACUAUAUAAAAAAACCAUAGUGUUAUCCUAAUAAAAUGUUAUAGUAAAGCGAUUCGUGACUUUUACAGAAUCGGUCUUGGUGCCUAGAUUACCUUGGUUUUUGUGGGUGACAGACAGUUUGAUAUACGGUUGACUGAUAGGUUUCACAAGAGUAUCCCAUACCCGGCUUUUGAUCCCUCUAUGCAUUUCCUUCUUGACAAGAUGAAUUUGCAAGCAACUUUCGAAGACUAUCUCCCCCCAAUAACAUCUCUUCUCGCUUAUCGUCACAAUAUCAGUGACAUGGUUCUUGAUUUCGAAAAAAAUUAACUGAGUAUGAUGUUACUAAAGGUUGCGUGGUAUGAUACACUUUUCGUGUCCACCUUAACUUUUUUUGUUCCUUUUCCGUUUAGUUGAUAUAAGUUACAUGGAUUUCUAAUUUUGCAGAUUCUACUUUACACCGGCAAUGUUCCACAGAUGCUUGAUACACUCUUAACAACUGUGAAUAUUAUUGACGAUUGCGGUAACAUAUGGGUGUGUGAGCUAAGUUUUGCAACUAUUCCUUGUGAACACUUCAAGAUAGGAGGGCGUUGGAAAAGGUUUGUGGAAGCUCGCAAGCUCCGUGAAGGUGUGAAAAUCAGAGGGGGUGCUCUGAUGGUUGGGUCACAUGAUACCAUUUACCUUGAUGUUAUUUACAAUUAGUCCAUGUUUAGAUAAAUUGUGCAAGACCUUUCCAGUUUGAAUUUUAAGUUUUAGUUUUUUAGAGUUUUGGAAGCAUCUAAUUUUUUUGUCUUUGAAUUUAGCAAAUGUCCCUUGAAUUUCAUAAAUAAUUUAGUCUUACUUGCUUUUCUUUUUGAUUUAUAUAUUUGUGUUUGUGUUGCUUAAACAAUUUAGUAACGUGAAUUUUGUUAACAAGGGAAACUUAUAUGUGUAUGUAUGUUUUUGUGUUGUUGAAUCAAUUUAGUAGCAUGGUUAUGUUACUGAAGCAUUUUAGUAACAUGGCUUUUAGUAACAUUAUUAGUAACAAUUACUACCUUUUGGUGACACUCUUAGUAACAUUAUUAAUAACAAUUACUACCUUUUGGUGACAAUUAUUUCCUAUUAGUAACAUUCCUGAAAGAGCAUAUUUUGAAAUAAUUAAUUUUCUUAUUUGGAAUAUGUUAAACUCAAAAUGGGAAUUUUUAGUCAACAUUAGAAUCCUUUAAAAAAUGUAUUGCAAACCUUUUUCACAUGGAGAGUUGUACGUCGCAAUAUCAUGGGUUACUUUGAGGGGUGGUUUAAAGAUAUUGAUUAAUGACGAGGACGCGAUGAUACCGAUGUUGGACAAAUGUGGUCUACAGAUAAGUUUUCCGUAAUGUGUAGGACUUUUUUGUAUACUAUUCAUUUUCUUACUUAUUGAAACUAUUUGCAUGUCAACGAACUUCAGUUUCCCUUUUAAAAUUAUAUGUUAUGUUAAAGUAAUAGGAACUACGUACUAGAAUUAUGGAACAAUAACAAAGCCUAUGAUAAUUGGCGUUAUGCUUUGAUUUACGACAAUUUUUACAUUCAAGCGAACUAUAUUAUUUUAUUUUUACGGUGAAUAUUAACUUCUUAAAAUGACCUGUGCGUUAGCACGGGUCAAUGGUCUAGUAUUUAUUCAGUUGUGCACUGUGUCUCUGAGACAGGCUAAUUUGACCACCAAGUUUUUUUUAAUCAGAAACAUAUUUUCAAAAAAUGUAAUCAUAUAUUCACACUGUAAUAAAAAUAUAUUCACAGUUGGACAAAAAAAUAAAAUAAGUAUAUUUAUUAUAUUCACACCUAUAGUAUACCCACGUGGUUAUCUUUUUCUAUAAACUCAAACCUAUAUAUAUCUCAUAUAUACAGAUCCGUGAAUAAUUUGCAAACCUUCCACUAAUAUUUAUUAUAAAUCUGCUACAUCAAUAAUGGUACUACCCACGUUCAUCAUCAUGAUUCUGUGUGUCCUUCCAACACUUUCUGUGGCUGAAGACAGUGAAGCAAAAUUAGCACUCUUAAAAUGGAAAGCUAGCUUUGACAACCAAAGUCAAAGUAUCUUGUCAACUUGGAAAAAUACCACAAAUCCAUGCAGCAAAUGGAGAGGAAUUGAGUGUGACAAAUCCAAUCUCAUUUCUACCAUAGAUCUUGCAAAUUUAGGACUAAAAGGUACACUUCACUCUCUCACCUUCUCUUCAUUCCCCAACCUCAUAACCCUAAAUAUCUAUAACAACCACUUUUAUGGAACCAUUCCUCCACAAAUAGGUAACUUGUCAAGAAUAAAUACAUUGAAUUUUUCAAAAAAUCCUAUUAUUGGUUCCAUCCCUCAAGAAAUGUACACAUUGAGGAGUUUAAAAGGCCUUGAUUUUUUCUUUUGUACACUAAGUGGAGAAAUUGAUAAAUCCAUAGGAAAUUUAACCAACCUAUCAUAUCUAGAUUUAGGAGGUAACAAUUUUUCUGGUGGUCCCAUUCCUCCUGAGAUUGGAAAAUUGAAGAAAUUAAGGUAUCUAGCAAUUACACAAGGUAGCCUAGUUGGUUCCAUUCCACAAGAAAUUGGUUUGUUGACAAACCUUACUUAUAUUGAUUUGUCAAACAACUUUCUAUCUGGUGUUAUCCCUGAAACCAUAGGGAACAUGAGCAAAUUAAAUCAACUCAUGUUUGCUAAUAACACCAAGUUGUAUGGACCAAUUCCUCACUCCUUGUGGAACAUGUCUAGCUUGACCUUGAUCUACCUUUAUAACAUGAGUCUUUCUGGUUCAAUCCCUGAUUCAGUACAAAACUUGAUUAAUUUGGAUGUACUUGCACUUUAUAUGAAUAACCUUUCUGGAUUCAUUCCUUCCACAAUUGGAAACUUGAAAAACCUCACUUUAUUGCUUUUGCGAAAUAAUCGACUUUCUGGAUCAAUUCCUGCCUCUAUAGGAAAUUUGAUCAAUUUGAAAUACUUUAGUGUCCAAGUAAACAAUCUCACAGGAACUAUUCCAGCUACAAUCGGAAAUUUGAAGCAGCUCAUUGUCUUUGAAGUAGCUUCCAACAAACUUUAUGGUAGAAUUCCAAAUGGACUUUAUAACAUUACCAAUUGGUAUUCCUUUGUUGUGUCCGAAAAUGAUUUUGUUGGCCAUUUGCCGUCUCAAAUGUGCACCGGGGGCUCAUUAAAAUACUUAAGUGCAUUUCAUAAUCGUUUCACUGGUCCAGUACCAACAAGUUUAAAAAGCUGCUCUAGCAUUGAAAGAAUCAGAAUUGAGGGUAAUCAAAUCGAAGGAGAUAUAGCAGAAGAUUUUGGUGUGUAUCCGAAUUUGCGAUACGUUGACCUGAGUGAUAAUAAAUUUCAUGGCCACAUUUCACCAAACUGGGGGAAGUCUCUUGAUCUUGAAACCUUCAUGAUAUCUAACACUAAUAUUUCUGGUGGUAUACCAUUAGAUUUUAUUGGUUUAACCAAGCUAGGUAGGCUUCAUCUUUCUUCAAAUCAAUUGACAGGGAAACUUCCAAAGGAAAUACUAGGAGGCAUGAAAUCAUUAUUAUAUCUCAAGAUUAGUAACAAUCAUUUUACAGAUAGCAUCCCAACAGAAAUUGGAUUGCUGCAAAGGCUUGAAGAGUUGGAUCUUGGAGGAAAUGAGUUAAGUGGCACGAUACCAAAUGAAGUUGCAGAGCUACCGAAGUUACGAAUGUUGAAUUUGAGCAGAAACAGAAUUGAAGGAAGAAUUCCAUCUACGUUUGAUUCAGCUCUUGCUUCAAUUGAUCUUAGUGGCAAUCGUUUGAAUGGAAACAUACCAACAAGUCUCGGAUUCUUGGUGCAGUUGUCAAUGUUGAAUCUCUCACAUAAUAUGCUUUCAGGAACCAUUCCUUCAACUUUUAGUAUGAGUUUGGAUUUUGUUAACAUAUCAGACAACCAGUUAGAUGGUCCACUUCCAGAAAAUCCAGCUUUUCUUCGUGCUCCGUUUGAAUCAUUCAAAAAUAACAAAGGCUUAUGUGGAAAUAUCACAGGUUUGGUUCCGUGUGCAACAAGCCAGAUCCAUAGUAGAAAGAGCAAAAAUAUCCUUCAAUCGGUAUUUAUUGCUUUAGGAGCUCUAAUAUUAGUGUUGAGUGGAGUUGGAAUUUCGAUGUAUGUUUUUUUUCGGAGAAAAAAACCAAAUGAAGAAAUCCAAACUGAAGAAGAAGUACAAAAGGGAGUACUAUUUUCGAUUUGGAGCCAUGAUGGGAAAAUGAUGUUUGAAAAUAUCAUUGAAGCUACUGAGAAUUUUGAUGACAAAUAUCUCAUUGGAGUUGGAAGUCAAGGAAAUGUUUACAAGGCAGAGUUGCCUACAGGAUUGGUUGUUGCUGUGAAGAAGCUUCAUUUAGUAAGAGAUGAAGAAAUGUCAUUUUUCAGUUCGAAGUCUUUUACGAGUGAGAUUGAAACCUUGACAGGAAUCAAACACAGGAAUAUCAUAAAGCUUCAUGGAUUUUGCUCACAUUCUAAGUUCUCAUUUUUAGUUUACAAGUUCAUGGAAGGUGGAAGCUUAGAUCAAAUACUAAACAAUGAAAAACAAGCCAUUGCAUUUGAUUGGGAAAAGAGGGUGAAUGUUGUUAAAGGUGUCGCCAAUGCUUUGUCCUACUUGCAUCAUGAUUGCUCACCUCCUAUUAUUCAUCGUGAUAUAUCGAGCAAGAAUAUUCUUCUCAAUCUUGACUAUGAAGCUCAUGUCUCCGACUUUGGGACAGCUAAGUUUCUUAAGCCUGACUUACAUAGUUGGACACAAUUUGCAGGCACUUUUGGGUAUGCAGCUCCAGGUUAGAACCAUUUCUCCUCAUUUUUAAUUUACACAAGUUUCGUUAUAUACACUAGUAGCAGUGGAAUCUGUGUAAAAGAAUAUGCGCUAAAAUACAUUUCCAACUGAAAAGAAUCAUUUUUUUAAUUAAAUAGAUAAGUUAUGUGGAUGUACCAGAGUCCAUUUAAAGAAUACAUGGCUUCAUAUUGUUUUGUGCAAAAUAUAACUUAAAAAUUAAUUUAUUUGUUUGUUUGCAGAGUUGUCCCAAACAAUGGAAGUGAAUGAGAAAUGUGAUGUAUACAGCUUCGGAGUGCUUGCUUUGGAAAUCAUAAUAGGAAAACAUCCAGGAGAUCUCAUUUCAUUAUUUUUGUCACCAUCUACAAGACCAACGGCUAAUGAUAUGUUAUUGACAGAGGUUUUAGAUCAAAGACCUCAAAAAGUUAUAAAACCAAUUGAUGAGGAGGUUAUCUUGAUUGCAAAGUUGGCAUUUUCUUGCUUAAAUCAAGUUCCACGUUCUCGUCCAACUAUGGAUCAAGUAUGUAAGAUGCUUGGAGCAGGAAAAUCACCUUUGGAAAAUCAAUUUCACACGAUCAAACUAGGGCAACUUCAUUAAGUCGUUGAAAUACUCUAUUGUAUAUAUAUAUAAUAAUAACCUAGUCUUUUUCUUGUUUCUUCUCUUGUAAGAUGCUUGGAACAGGAAAACCACCUUUGGUGGGAAAGCAACUUCACAUGAAAUAAUCUAUUGAACUAACUCAACGAAAUAAUCUACUGUACUAUAUAAUAAUAACAUCUUUUGUAUUUUUCUUGCACAACAUUCUCAAGCAAUUUCUUCUUUUCAUUGCACCAAUUAAUACUUCAAAAUAAGCAUGAAAAACAGAUUCAUGAGUAAAUAGUCAUUUUGGUCAUUGAAUGUGUAAGAUGUUGUUACUUGAUACUAUAAUCUCUGAAUGUAUCAAAAUUACAAACACAUUCUCAAUGUCUCUUUUGUCAGUAAUUUUAUAGACUAAAUGGACCAUAAAAAAUACUAAUAUUUCAGAAAUUUGUGUGCAUUUUUUGAAACAAUAAAAAAUACUAAAAAGAUUGCUUUUAUUAUUUAGAGAAAUGCAACACCUCUAACUAAUAUAUCAAUGUUCUUUUCAUUACAAUGGUUCGAGUCUCACAUUUUCCUAUUAACAAGUUUUAUUCAUCACAAUGAGUCACGCCUCAUUUCAAUUUGGGACUGAUCAUGUCUUGCUUUAUAUGUUUUGCGUUUAGGAGUCCUUGCAUUUUCCGUGAUCUGCAAUUUCCUUUCUUGUCUUGAUCUCUGGUGUGCAAUUACUGAUCAUGAAUUCUAGGUCACAAUGUCUGGUUUCCGUGCAGGUUGUUUGUGUUCUCAUCGUUGUUUGUGUGGGGUUCAUCCAGUUUUGUGUGUUCACACUAUUGUUCGCGUGGGUUACAUUAUCACUAUUGUUCAUGUGGUCCUUUCUUAUUCUUGGUUGAACUCUCAUGGCCUCAAAAAGGAAAGAUGCGAUUUAUGUGUCUGUUUCACCAGAAAAUAUUACCCGACUAGAGAAUUCAGUUCAAGAUGUAUGUCAACUGGAAAGGAUUAUGGAAUCUGUUGUGAAUUCGAACACAAAACUCACACCAAUAAAACUAUGAUGUGUGGAGUAAAGGAAAGUAGUAAUCAAUAUCAAAGUAAACACAAGCAACAACAAUAACAACACCAAGAUCUAAUCUAGGAAUCAAAGUGAAAAGCUCAAAACCACAAGCAAAAAGAUAAGGAGAGAAGAGAAACAAACAGACCAAGAAAUGUUUACCCAGUUCGGUCCAACUUGAUCUACUCUUGGGGAGAGAUUUAUCUCUCCAAUCCACCAUCAAUGAGUUCUUACAAAAAGAUACAAAUGGGUUACAAGAAAUUAGCUUCAACAAGCUCACAAAGAAAAAAUCUAAUUUCUACCCAUUUUCCCAAUCUCACAAAUGAACAAGACACUCAAUGAUUUUCACUCACCCAAGGUGUUUACAAUGUUUCUCACCCCAAGAUAACUAUAAUCAAAGACCCUCAACCCUAAAGUUACCUCCUUUGAUUUCUCAAGUUUUCCUCUCUUGAAGCUCUUCCUUAAAAAAGAAGAAUGAAACCUUACAUAGUGUUCAGGAUUUCGCACCAUCGUACUACGAUGGAGCAAAUAAUAGUAUAAUACUAUGCCUUAUCCAACAAAAUCGUACUACGAUUUCUCCCAUCGUACUGCGAUUUUUCCAGUGCCUACACAAACCUGAACUAUUCAAAAUCGUACUACGAUGCCUGCAAUCGUACUACGAUUUUUCCAGAACUUCAACAUCCAAAUUUUGAGUCAAUUUUCAAGAGAAUCAUAUGAUGGGCUUUAAUUUCUAAAGCGUUGGAAGGGAAAGCUACCUUAGAGUUAGAUGUGUGGGAAGUCACAGAUGCUAAAAUUACAUCUUGAAUUCUUAGUACUAUUGAUCUCCAUGUGAUCAAUAAUUUGUGUUCUUUUACAACUGCUAAAAAAUGUGAAACAACUGACGCUGCAGGUAUCCCCAUAUGUUGUAUUGCAGUUUCUCUUAUCGAGUGAAUUUACACAUUUCUCUCCAUUCAUCACUUAAACAAGAUAUUAAAUCGAACCCAUCAAAAUGCGGUACAAAGUUUAUGGUUGUGCACAAUAUAGGUCGCAUUGCUCCCAUAUAUCAAUUAUUACGACACAUAUAUAUACUCUUAAUUAUUACAAAACUAUUACACUGUCAUACCCAAACAACAACAACAAAAUCGAUGAAAUAACAAAAGCAGACUAGUAUAAUCCAAUAAUAACACAUUAAAUCCUUUCAUUUGCGCCGAACAGUAACAGGACUCCUUACAAUGUGUUUUCCAUUUGUCCAUCGCAGUUCCCCAAAUUGGUAUUUCCUCCUUGGAGUCACACUUGUUGCUUGCACAAUAACUUGAAAUGUCUUCUUUUCACCUAUUUUCUUGAAAUUCAAGGAACUAGGUACAACAGCAAUUUUAUAUCCAGCCAAUUGAACUUUAGCAAAAUAUGUACUUGGUGGCCCAACAUUAGUAACUGUGCGAGUGACAGUAACGGAAUUUAAUCCAAGAUUUGGUAAUGUGAUUGAAGGAUAAUUCAAGUCAUCUAUGCUACUAGUUCCUGAACAAGUAAAUGUCAUGUUGAAAUUAAGUGCUGAAAUGAGUUGUUGGUUGUAUCCAGAAGCACAUAAGAAGUUUAAGUAAUCUUUAAUCCCUAGAUCAUAAACAAGUCCUGGAUCCAUGGCACUGUUGGGUCGAAUAUGUCCUGAACCAUAAGCAAAUGGAUUUGCCAGUGUUUUAUCAAAUGCAUCGCUUAUAGGCUUGUUGGUGUUAUCUCUCGUGGUUGCUGCAAGCCAGCAUAUUUUGACUAGUAAGUAAUAAGUAAUCAUUUUAUAAAUUAAACUUAUUUAUAUAUGAGUGACAACGUGUCAAAAAUAAUAUAAAAAUAAUGCUACGCAUAGUGCUUUUUCCAGCCAGUGCUCCUUUUAUAGAGUAUGUGUGUGUGUGUGUUUGGUGCCACUUGAGAGAGAAAAUACCAGUGGUCAUUAUAGCCGAUUUAAUAGCUGCUGGACUCCAAUUAGGAUGAAGUGUUUUGAUUAAUCCAGCAGUGCCGGCAACAUGUGGACAAGACAUAGAAGUUCCUUGCAUUACAUUGAAUGGAAAACCUCGACGAGUGUCUGUUAUUAAAUUAGAUGCACUUGCAAACAAUGAAUAGGCAGCGAGUAUGUUCACACCUGGCGCAGUUACAUCAGGCUGAAACGAAAAAAUAAAAACAAUUCCAAUCAACACAAAUUACUAAGCAGUGUCAUUUAGCUAGUAGAUAAGAAAUCCAAGUGUAUGAUAAACACCUUGAGUAUUGAUGGUUGAACUUUAUUUGGUCCUCUAGAAGAGUAGGAAGCCAUAACUGGAGCUGGCUUUCUUCUAUUCAAAGUUUUUGCUGGUGACAUUCUUAGUUUAGUGCCUGACUUUAUAUCCCUGUAAAAUAAAAAUAGAUAUGAUUGUAUAAAAAUGGUGCUUUUCAUUUGUAACAUGUAUUUUAAUUAAUAAUGUCACAAUUUUUAAAAGCUUGUUACAAGAAAGGUAUGUAUAAUGAAUUAUUACGAGGGAAUUAUGUCCAAACUACGUCCUGUUGUUCUUGAAUGAUUUCCAGGAUAGCUGAUAGUAGACAAAACAUGAGGCUCUGAAAGAAGUGUUUUUCCAUUAAUUUCAGGUUGAUUUCUCAAAAUAACCCCCUUUGCACCUGCAGAUAAAGCUUCCUGACCCUCAGCAACUGAUUUUAUUUUCCCUUCUCGAUCGCAUGCCACUAUUUUACCAUUCACUUUUGAAGGAUCAAGUGUUCUUGGUCUACAAAAUCGACUGCAACAAUAUGUAUGUAAAAAUAUAUGUUAGAAACAGUCAUUAAGCAAAUGUUUUAUUGGAUUUUUAAGUCAUGUAAUUUUACAAUGUACUUUAAAGGAUGACCGUGUUGCUUUAAAAUGAAUUGAAAAGCAAAAUCGUUAACUUUAAAAAAUAGUUGACCAAAAUUACAAUAGACAAUGUUUUUAUCAGUACUGAAAUAAUGCUUUUGGAGUUUACACUUACGCAUCUCGAUUUGUUGCAUUGGCCAAUUUAGCAUCAGUAGAAGUCACUAUAGUAAAGUCCUGGUUAGGUGGCAAGUUUACAAAAAGACUGGCUCCCUUUUUAAUAUUAAAAAAUAAAAAAGAACACAAUUAAUUCCAAUCCUAUGAUAAUAACAACAAGAAUAAUUUGUCACAGAAAAAAACAAUAUUACGGAGAAAAUUAUCAGAAUAUUAAUUAAGGAUAAUACCGUGAGUGUUUUGUUACCAAUGGUCAUGACACUGCUGAAGUCUCUGUCUAAUGUACUAGCAGCAACAGUGAACACCCAUGGAGCAACAUUAACAACACUUCCAGGGGUAGGUCCUUCAUUUCCCGCAGAUGCAACUAAUAAUAUAUUUCUAGCAAGUGCAUGAAAUGCACCUAUUGAAAUCUCGUCAGUAAAAAUUUCUUCAGAAUUUGUACUAGAUGGGCCUCCAGCAGAAACAGAUAUUAUGUCAACACCAUCAUCAAUUGCUUGAUCAAUAGCAGAUAAUACAUCAGCACCAAAGCAACUAGUGGCAUCUGUUAGAGACCAGCACACUUUGUAGGUUGCAACUCUAGCUCUUGGUGAACCUCCUUUUAUGGUACCAUUUCCAAUGUUAAAUAUGCUUGCACCUGGUACGAAAUUUCCACCAGCUGUUGAUAGUGUGUGAGUACCAUGGCCAACGAAGUCACGCGCUGUUUGUUGUGAACGAGG
rnacentral:lncRNA from 1 species